GGUUUUGCAAGGAUUUGCGGUUUCUCCAGAGUUUAAAGGUUUUCUUUGGCUAGUGUGGCCGGAUGUUGGUGGAUCUGGCUCGUGGCGAGAGAGAGUAAGCGGUUGUUGGUGGAGGUUCUGUCUUCUUGGUUCUUUUGGGGCUGUGGGUUGUUUGGUUUUAUCGGGUGAGCUUUCGUUGGCUUUUCCUUGGUUGUGCUUGGUGUAGAUCUGUUAGUUUGUGUUGAAGGUUUAGAUGGUGUUUUUGGCUUGCGCAAUGGUGUAGUUAGGCUUGAUCUUGGUUCUAACUCUACGGGUUAUUGUACGGCUUUGCUGUGCUUUCCGGUUUUAGUGUCAUGCUUGCUCUAGCUCUCUGUUUUGGGUUCCUAGUUCUUCUUCGCCGAGUGCUACCUCUCGUUUGGGUGUGGUUUCUGGUGGGCUGGGUUCGUGUUUGAGGUUUGUCAAUCGGAUGGUACAUCGUUGCAGGUGCAUCUACUAGCUCUUCUCUAAAGCCUUCUUUGGUUUGUGUGGUUGGGUUCAAGGCGCAGCAGUGGUUUCGUUUACUAGUUCUUCUCUUGCGAGGUCGUGACCGGUUCAUGUCUGUAGGUGGCAUUGAUUGGUUUGCUUUGUCCGCGUGUAAGGGUUGGUGCUCCUCUUUGGCUUAUCCUCAGCCGUUUUCAAAGGUCCAUCUUUGUGCCUAGUUUCGUUCGAGCUCAUUAUCCUUCUGAAGUUGGCGUGAUGGUGCUUGUUGCUGUGCUCGCUUCUUAGCUUAUUCCUUCUCUCUGUUAUGUCGGGUUGUGGCUAGUUGAGCUCUCGGAUUAGUUCUUCUUCGGAUUCUCCGGUAGUUUGGAGAUUGUCUGUUUCUUUUCGAGGCUCUUGUUUCUUGGUCCAGCUCCGUCGCCAUCUGUUUCUCUUGGAUUGUUUGAAGGUUAUGUUGGUUUUGAGUUUCAGAUUUAGUUCUUAGGUUCCUUUAGGGCUUGUCUUUUAGUGCUUUUGAUUAUAGUUUGCUUCCCUUUUUGGGGCUUAGUUUUCCGGGGAUAUUUCUAUGUUCCGCCGGCUUAGUUUCCGAAAGAGUUUCGACUCUUGUCGGCCUAGUGUUCCAAAACCGUAUUCUACCUUGUAUUCCUCUUUUGUUUAAUAUAAUGAAUCAUUCAGACGAAAAAAAAAAAAAGAAGUACUUAUUUGUAUAACAUUUUCACAGCCAACCAGAAAACAAUUUCCAGUCACCGGAUUCUUUUACUGCAAACAACAACCAUAACAUAUAUCUUACAAACAACUUUUCAUCUUCGAUAUUAAACCGAUGCAACAUUUCCAUCUUUGAUCUUAAACCGACGCAACCGGAAGAUCAUUCGAACCGGUAUCAACCUUAAACACAUUCCUGCUUGAAGGCAAACCAGCCACUGGUUCAUCUUCAAUUCCACAUUCAUUAGUUCCUCUCCUUAUCAUGAAAUAACCAUCCUGCAAAUUUCAUACAUGUCAACAACAUUCAUGAAACAAAUAACCAAAUCUACAAUUAUUUGUAAAUUUCUUACAAAUAAAACUUACAUCACCCCAGCCUCUGUUCCAUUGAUUUGCCAUCAACUAAAAAAAAUUGAAAAAAUGAACCAAAAACGUUAUAAACUUUCGGUUAAUUUCAAACUUUCGAUAUAAGAAACUCGCUAAAAUGUAUAACAUUUACCCAAUAAUCUUCGCCUUCAUUGCUAGUUCCCCAACCAAUAAGUUUAACAGCAUGACCUCCAAUGUUAGAUCCUGUUAUGUGCUUAUAGACUCCAGAUUUGUAAUGAGCAAAAUCCUAAUCAAAACAAACCACUAAUGAUCCAUAUUUCUUUAACUUUUAUUCAAAACAAUCUAUAGAUUAUGGUCUUUAUUACCUCAUAAACGGUAAAAGAGACUUCAACAGGUCCAUUCUUAUAAACCUCUGCCAUGAUAUCUUGUGGACUAGAAUUAACAGUGUAUGUACUGACACUGUAAUGCUUCGACUCGCUCCAUAGUUUGUUGUCGCUAACGCAUUUCCUCAAACAUCUCGGUGUAGGAUAUGCCGGUUCACAACCCGGGUGAGAGCAUCCGGUAUUAUCAAAGUAUGGAUCACACUAGUAAAAACCAAUAAUACAUUACCAAAAACUUCAACUAAACUAAUUUCAAACUUGAGGAUUGUAGUGACAUUUAUCUUAUUUACCUCUUCGGUGACAACACCACUAUACGAAAAGUAUUGCCAAGCAGCAAUUGGGUAGCCACCGUCACAACCAUCACCACAACGGAAUCCGCAACAAGCUAGAAGAUCAUUUACUGAUAGAGAAAUGUUCUGAAUUGAGGAAAAAAAACACUAGAUUAGGUUUUGGAUUAUUAAUCUUGAGUUGGUUUUUGAAUCGAUUAUUAGUAUUCUUACCAUGCCAAAUUGGAUACAGAAUCUAUCAGAUAGUGAUUCAACAGCACCAAAUGCCCAGCAAGAACCACAAUGUCCCUAAACCAAAACCACAAAAUCUCAUAAAACCCCUUUAUUCCAGUAGACAAAUCUAAACGUUACAAGACACACAAAAGAUUAAAACUUUACCUGAUCUGUUCAUAGAGGAGUCAACACACACACACACACACACAGAGACCAAGAGUUAGUAACCGAUAAACGAAAUGCAAUUGAACACUCAAACGGUGUUAAAAAGCUAAAUGCCUAAAACCAAACCUAAGAUCUUUCCAAUACUAGUGCAUUGUGGCCAAGCUGUUCUAGCAUCAAAAGCUUUAGGUAGCUUCAAAGAUGGAUCAUGGCUUACAACAGGAACACCUAAGAAAUGCUUCUUCGGUGUUGGUUUAACACCGAGAAGGCGCUUAAACUCUGCAACCUAUAACAUACACAAGUUUUUUAAGAACAAAAUCAUGAAUCAUAUUAUUAGAUUGUUGUUACUCACUCAUAUAAAGAUUUAAAGAACAUUACAGUGGCGUUUGAAAAUCGAUCAUUUAUAGCAGCUUUCCAUCCAGCGUUUGGAUUUUGGUUGACUUUCUUCACAAUCUCAUCCUAAUGAAAAAAAAUCAAAAUCUUGAUUAGUGAGAAAUCAGAAGAACAGAACUAAUUAAACAAGAUUCAAACCUGAAGUAUCUUCGAGUUCAGUUUCUGUUUGGUAAGAUUUUCUGCUGAUAUACCCUGAUUAAGACAAAACCCAGAAGAUUUUAGUCAACAAAGUUUGGAUCUUUCUUUGUCUUAAUGUUUUAAAGUAUAGUUUUUAUGUAACUACACAACUAAAAGAUAGAUAGUAUUGGAUCUAAAUGAAACAUAGCACCAAACUUCAUACACAAAUCAAACUUAAGAAGAGAUGAUUAUGAAAGUUACCUUCAAGUCAAAAGCCAAGAGAAGCCCUAAGAGCAAGAAAACAGAGGCCAAACAGAGUUUGGUAUUGUAAGCAGCCAUGAAAACAGAGUUUGCUUCUUCGAUGAAUCAAAAACCAAAAGAUCUAUUUGUAUAAGUUAAACCUCAGUGGUGGGGGAAUGAAUCUUCAGAGAGAGAGAGAGUGGCUUAUCUACUGCAGAAUGUCAGAGACAUUUCUUGGGAAACUGAAUCAGCCAAUGACUUGUUUAAGAGCCAAAAGAAGAUCUUAGCCGUUGAUUGGUGCAAUCUACAGAAUUCUAGGCCGUUAAAGGUAUACAUGAUUGCCACGUUGCGUCAUUACUCAUUACACAUCUUUCGUAAUAGUAUCUUAUGGGAUUGGAGUUGGACCCUUUGUUACGAAAUCUCAAUGGCAAGUUAACACCCAUCGAUCAGAUAAGUUACUUGUGUAAGUUUGUAACUCUUAGUUACCCAAAUUUUUUUUUAUUCUUUGGGUUAUAGGUUAAUGUUGAUUUAGUCGGAAAAAAAAAAACGAAUGUUAAUGUUGAUUUACUAUAAGACCAAAUUAUGAAUGUGAAUAUUGCAAAAUCUACCACAUUUCAAUAGCACAUGCGGAAUUGUGGACCAAAAUACCCCUGAUUGGGACAGAGUCUGUGUCAGAGACAGAGACAGUUUCGUCCGGCGCUUCCAAAGAAGGAGCAGGUAGGUCUGCAAUAAAUGCUGCACAUUUACAUUUGCUAGAUAAUUGAAUUUAAUUAAUAAAAAUGAUAAUAGAGUAGAGUUAGACCAUUAAUUGCUCUUUUAAUAUAUCAGAUAAAAGAGGGGACAUGUUCGGAUCGAAUGAGUAAUAGAAUGAGAUCGGGGACAAAUUCAUAUCGAAUGAGUAAUAGAAUUAGAUCGGAGACAAGUUCAGAUAGAAUGAGUAAUAGAAUUAGAUCGGUGACAAGUCAAAUCGAAUGAGUAAUAUAAUUAGAUCAAAAAUUAAGCGUGAUGAUUUUUAUCAUCCAAUUCUCUUGACUGUCCAUCGCCAGAUGGUGUAGUUUUGCCCGCCAGAGAUCUGGAUUUACUCGGGGACAACUGGAAUAGAAUUAGAUCGAGGACAAGUUCAGAUCGACUAGGUAAUAGAAUUAGAUCGAGGACAAGUCCAUAUCGAAUGGGUAAUAGAAUUAGAUCGGGUCAAGUCAAAUCGAAUGAGUAAUAUAAUUAGAUCAAAAAUUGAGCGUUUUUUCAUCCAAUUCUCUUGACUGUCCAUCGCCAGAUGGUGUAGUUUUGCCCGCCAGAGAUCUGGAUUUACUCGGGGACAACUGGAAUAGAAUUAGAUUGAGGACAAGUCCAAGAUGAUGAUAAUAGAGCAAGAUGAUGAAAUCGGAGACAAGAUCUAGAGACAAGAUCUGGAUAGAGAAUUCUCAAUCGGGGACAAGAUCUGGAGACAAAAACGAAAGUUAAUUGUUUAGUCUGAGGAGAUAUAAUGUUUCUUGGUUAAAGCGCACAUGUUUCGAGGGAAGAAAGAUAAAUAGGGAGGGAAAAUAAAUAUGGAGGAAGAUAAAUAGAGAAGAGAGAUAAAUAGGGAAGAUAAAUAGGGAGGGCAAAAUGGUAACUCUACAUCGAAAUGUGGUAUGAGUUGAAAGAAGGGAAGAAAUAUGAUAGAUUUUGAAAGAAAUUGGGAAAAAGUGGUAGAUUUUGUAGUUUUUCAGAUAAAAAGUUUGGUGGUAAAAUUGUAAACAAAUUAAAUUAAUAUUUUAUGAGAUUUGAUCAAAUUAGUUUUUGUGCUUGUGCAUAAUUGUGUUACUAUGGAUCGGGCAUUGUCGAUCCAUUGAUGUCAAAAAAAAAAAAAAAAACCCUUAAAUUCGCUUAGAAAUAAAGAUAUAAAAAGUGUCAUGGGAUAAGAUAACAUGAUUAAAAUAAAAUAACGUGCAAAGAGUUAUUUACUUAAUAAUUUUUUUUUGCUAAUACCCUUAAUUUUUUUUACAAAGUUUUGUCACUAGACCAGACCAUGGCGACCCAAAUUCUUACAAAUUGGAUAUAUAAAGACUUUUUAGUGAUGAUAAAAUUCUUAAUUAGAAUUUGAUUACAUGGCACGAUCACAACGGGAAUUAAGGAGAGCUUUGCUGAGACAAUUGAAAGCAUCGAUGUAGGAGACAAAGCCCAUGAACCAAAACUCAAACCCAUCUUGUGUCACCAUAUGCACAUACCUCUCACUUGGCUUCAACACGUUCGUUGAUGAACUAAUGCUACGUAUCUUCUCCCACUCCAUCACCACCUAUCAAUACAACAUUAAAAUAUCACAUAUAAAUGUUAUAUUGCUCAAUAUAUUAUAUAGUCACUAAUCUUUAGAAACCAAAUUAUUAUAUCCUUAUUUUACAAAAUAAAAACAAAUAUUUGACAAAGAACAAUUCUUGUUACCAACUAAGAUAUUUUUUUAAGUAUGAACAAAACUUCUGGAACAAAAAAAAAGUUUGAAACUCAUGGUCUAACCUUGUAAUAUGCCGCAACACCAUUUCCACCGACAGAAGAAGGAAGACGAAUGGCAUAGUCGCUACAAAAAGCGAUUCUUCUGUUGGAAAUGUAUAUCACUCCGGUCACUGGUCCCGAAGUAGUCGAUAUGUAGCAAACAAACGAAUCUAAAAGUUUCUCUGCAGCUAAAACACCAAACUCUCGUUGAAACACUCUCUCUGGUCCUCCUUCAACGAUCAUCUUAGUGCCUUGAGAAAGCCUAGCCAUUGCUGCAUCACCUAUGCUAGGACUAAACUUCACUGUUCAUGUCCGGUUUCAUGCAUAGACCAUAUAUAGAUUAUGGUUAAAAAAAUCAUCAGAUCUAUGUUUUAGGUAUAUAUAUAAACCCUCACGUACGGUGAUCUUUUAAACCGCCGGCUAAUGCUUCCGCUUUGCGAGUAACGUCCUCUACUUUCUUCCCACACCGAUUCAACACCUCAAAAACCUUAUCCUUGGACCCUAUAUGUAUUAUACAUCAAUCAAGAUUUAUCAUAAGCUUAACUAAGACACGAACAAUCAUAUUGUUUAGACUUACUCUUAUCAGAAGCUGAUGUGGGAGUAGUAAUGUGGACGUAAGGAUUAUUAUAACGACCGCCAUGGCUGUUGGUUUUGUGUUUAGCCGUCGAGCCUAAUUUAUCGUUCACAUCCUUGUAUUGCUGACUCAUGAUAUUAGACAUAAUGGUGAUGGAGAAGACGAUAAAUGAGGUUGAUAUAGAGGGAGGCCCGGCCGUGGAUUGUACGCGAUCGGACCUUUAUUCGUAUUGCUUUUUUAAGGAUUCGGAUAACGAUGAUUGAUUCUCCAUGGAUGGUGUCGAGAUGCCAUUCAUGAUAAUAAUAUUUCUAUUAAUGUAUAUCUUAUCUUGCUGGAAUAAUGAAUCAUGUGACAUUUUUUACUUCCUACGGAGAGUUCAUUUUGAAAAGUAAAACGUCCGGGCCGGAUCCGUUAAAAUAAAUAUAAGUCCGGGCCCUAAUUAGAGAUUUUUCGGGCUAAAAGUUUUAACCUAAAACAGGGUUGGCCCAAUUUCAGAAAGUUUUUUUUUCUUCUUCAAUCUCCUCUCUUCUUUCUCGAAAACACUCUCGUUUUUGGGUUUCGUAUUGUUGGUGUUGUGAGAAGCCAUAAGAAAACAAGCGGCGAAGCUCAGAUUCAUAUCCCGUAGAGGUAUCUAUCAUACUCGAAUUGAGGAAAUUAGCAACAAGUAAUUUGUAUAUAUCUCUUAUGUUUAAUUUGGUGUUUAUGUCUGAAAUUAUGAACAGAUUGUUGUCUCUUUUUUGGUGCUUCUUAUGACAGUUUCUUCAGUUGUUUCCAAGUGAAUUAAAACAUCAAUAUUCGAUGUCUUGGAGAGGAAGCAGUGGAAAACCACAAGGUGGUGGUGCCGAUUAUGGCAAGCCUGAGCCUUUUGUGAUUUUCCCUGUAAGUUGUACAAAAAACUUGUCUUCAAAAUUUGAUCUCUUCAAUUGCAGAUUCUGUGUUAAGGUUUUUUUUUUUCUUCUUGUUCUGGGCAGGAUAUUACGUUACCUGAUCCGAAAUCAAUCUCAACAGACUUGCAAUUAGUUCAAACCUACUUUAGUUUCAAUAAGUUUUGGAGAAAUUCUCCUUAUCAUUUAGGCGAUGGUGUUUCUAAGAAAGGUAUCAACUUUUGUCUUUGUUAUCUCUGUGUUUAAAUAAAGCUUAAAGCUUUGAACAAAAAAUAAAUAAAGCUUAAAGCUUUUUUUUUUACAAUCAUCAGAGAAUGAGAGUUUGGACAUUGAGAGGUAUUCAGACUCGUUGAAGCCCAAGAUGAAGUCUAAUAAGAAUGGAUCUUUCUUUGAUUUUCUUGUUCUUAGACCUGAUAACUUCCCUAAAGAACUUCUUGGAGGUUUGUUUUAGUUUCAUCAUCUCAACACUUUUUUUUUUUUUUUUGGGUUUUGAUUCAUCUUUGAUUUGUUGAUUAUAAUUGGAUAUUAUGCGAUUUCAGAUACUCGAAGAGAACGUCCAGUGAAGAGAGCUAAAUGGAGUCAAGAAGCUGGUACUUUGUGUUUAUUAGUUUCUGGUGUUUUUCAACAAUGUAUCAAGAAGCUCAGGUUUUUAUGUUUUUGUUUCACAGAUUUGCAGAAAUUGGAUGUGUUUGAGAAGCUUGAAGCUAAGUUUAAGGUACUAGAGAAACAGUUCAAUGGUUUUUUUGGAGUACUUUGCGGUAACGUUUUUGGAUUAUGUUUGGUUAGGCUGAAGGCAAUGAAGUGAAAGGAGAAGGAGAAGAUGAUGAAGAAGUUGAGGAAUCCGAAGGAGAAGAAUCUGAUAAUGGAGAUUAUGAUCAGGUUUUGCUUGUUUUCCAGAUUAUUAAUGUUGAAUAGAAGCCUUGUGUGAUUCUUCUUCUUCAAGUUACUUAACAAUUUUGUUCUUGAAUGUUUUGUAGAACCAAGACUUUGAUGAUGAUGACGACGAUUAUAAUCAGGAUGAUGGUGAAUGUAAGCAUUGUCAUCUUUAUUCUCUGUUUCUUUACUAAGAUUGUAUCCCUAAAACUAUUCUUACUAACUUUGUUUCUCACGUUUCUUGCCAAUAGUUGAGGACGUGUAUUAAGCUGCUUCUUCUUUUCCCAAAAGAAUCAAGUUUUGCAGACAAGAGAAGCUCAGCCUUGAAGGUGAAAGCUCUUAGGUUUUUGUUUCCUUGGUUUUUGCUCUAUACUAAAUCAGUUGUAAGAUUAUUUCCAAACAUUGUGAUCUAGUAGAGCUUUGGAUAUAAUGGCUUGGAAGUACCAUUUCUGGGAAGAGUUGAUAAGGGUGUCAAUUCCCAUAUGGCCAUAUUUGUAGAAAUUUUUGCAACAUCCCCCAAAAGUGUUUGAUCUUUGGUUUACAAAUGGAUUGAUACAAGUUGUUAGCUUCUUCAUGAGACACAUUGGACUUGAUAAUGUUGCUGCAAUCUGCUUUUUGUGACUGCUAUCAAAUAUCUUGAUGUAUUUGCUUUAGCUCUGUAUUCUAUUUGCUAGUAGAAAUUUUAGAUUUGCAACGUUCUCCAACUUUGCUUAGCUAGCAAUAAAUAAGUUAAUUUCUGAUUUCUAACACUAUUCACUGCUUUCCAACUUGUCACCUUAUCUCAUGAUAUCCAAGGCACUGUGUUUUAACUUUUUCAAAAGCCAAUCAGAAUCUUCUUGUACUAGAGUUUAUCAUUUGGUAGUGAAGUUGCUACUAAGACCAUCUCCGUUGGCUUUAUUUUUUGCUCUAAAUUUGGAGUUCUCUAAAAAUAGAGCAAUGGUUUGCUCCAAUAAUUGGUUCUAUUUUUUGCUCUAUAAUAAAUAUUUUAUUUUAAUAUUUUAUUUUAAUUUCUCAUAUAGUCCUUCACUUUCAAAGUUUGCAAAUUCUACCCAUAUAGUUUAUUUUUAAACUAAUAUCUAAUAAAACUAUAUUAUUAAAAAUAAAAUUUUAUUACAGCACAUAAAUAGAAAAUCGAAAGAUUAAUACAUUUUUAUUUAAGAUUCAUCAUUAGCGUAAUUCUCCCACAAAUGAUCGACUAAUGCAUUUCGAAGUGAGAAAUGAGCUUCUUUGUCUUUGAUUUGUUUAUAUCGAGAAAGAAAUUCUUGAAAUCGGGUAUUUUCAUCUGUGAUGUUUAGUGAUUUUUAGUUUAUCAUUUGUGAUGUCAUUGUUUUCUAAUUUAAUAUAUGUUUUGUUAUAUUUUAAAAUUUAAAUUAGUUUAGUAACUAUGAUUUUUAAUAUAAAUUUAUGAGAUAUAAAAUUUAGUUAUAUAAUUUUGUUUAGGUGUAAAAUUAUAAUAUAUUAAAACUGAGGGAGUAGUUUGUAAAUAAAAAAGUUGUGCUUCAAAAAUAGAGAUAUGAAUAGUGUUGCUCCAAAUUUGGAGCAACACUAUUCAUAUCUCUAUUUUUGAAGCAAGAUAUAGAGCACCAUUGGAGUGAUUUUACACCAAAUAUAGAGUUUAAAGCAAGAUUUGAAGCACCAUUGGAGAUGCCCUAAACAUACCAUUUUCAUCUCUAAAAUAUCAAAUUUUUUCCCUUUUGUUUCUUGAAAUUACUUGGCUAGUUGAAGUGAAAGCAUUGGCAAACAAUGUGUUCCGGUUCCUAAUUACAAUGAUAUAUAUACAUUAGGCACUUAUUGAAGCCAAUUCCUCUACAAAUCAAAGUAACCUAGAGAAAACUAGAGUCUAAUCAGAAGUAAAAAAACAAAAACAAUAAAACAAUAAACUUGAAGAAACAAUUCAGCAGAGAGAUAUUCGAAUCUAUCCAUGAAAGGAUAUUGGAAUUUGAAGGGUAAAAAAGGAGAGAGCUUUCUCACUCACAAAAACUGAUUCGAGUUUUGAUAUAAGCCUCUGUCUGAACCAGAAGGUGUUCCUAUAUUUCACCUUCUCGUUAUUCGGAGGCUAUACAUAACACAUACUAUAUACAUACGUAGAUUCCCAAAUUGAUGUCUGAAACUUUUAGUGAAGAAGCUUGAUAGGUUUAAAAAAACCAGAAGCUUCUCCAGAAAACAAAAAGCCACAAAUCAAAACAAUACAGAAAAGUAUUGAUGAUCAGAUUGAUAUACGCCUCCUAACUAAGCCAAUAAAUAUGAAAUUGCCUAAUAACUAGGGUUCAUAAAGCUACUCAAGGAGGCAGAUUUUAUUAUCAAAAACAAACAAAAACGAUAGAAACAAACAAAGAGGGACUAAUGAAGAAGAUGAUGAGUUACGAAGAGAAGAAAGGCGCUACCCUUUUUAUUCACCCUGUUUUCUAGGGUUUUUAAUGGUUUGGGUUUGUGAAUUACUAUUUUGCCCUCUUUCAAGAACCGAUUGUUUUAUUUGGUCUGGUUUUCUAAAACCACUCAGUUAAUUUGGUUUGGAUUUCUAAAACCCCUCAAUCAAGAUCUUUUUUUAUUUUAUUUUAUUUACAUCAUUGUGAUGUAAUUCACAUGUAUUAUAAUUUAAACAUUUUGAAUUAAAUUUCAUUCAUUUUUUUUGGAUAUAUUAAUAUAGUUUUGAGUCAUUUUUUUUGUUAAAUUUGACUCACAUUCGUUGCAAUUAGAUUAAUACCUAUACAGUAUAUACCUUGGCUUUGAAAUGUAUUUACAAUGGAAUGACAUCUAGAGGUAUGCAUUGGAUGGCUUGGAACAAGUUGUGCAAUAGUAAAUCAGAAGGAGGGUUAGGUUUUCGGAAUGUAGACGAUUUUAAUUCAGCCCUAUUAGCUAAACAAUUAUGGCGGUUGAUUACGGUUCCAGAUUCUCUUUUUGCGAAGGUGUUUAAAGGGCGGUAUUUUCGGAAAUCCAAUCUCUUGGAAAAUAUUAAAUCAUAUUCCCCAUCAUAUGGAUGGCGUAGUAUCUGUUCAGCUAGAUCUCUGGUUAAUAAAGGACUUAUUAAAAGGGUCGGAUCUGGGAAAUCCAUCUCAGUUUGGGAGGAUCCCUGGAUUCCAGCACAAUUUCCGAGACCAGCAAAGAGUAAUGGUUCACAUGUUGACCCAUUGUUAAAAGUUAACAAUCUUAUAGAUAGUCGGUCGAAUUUUUGGAAUAUUUCUCUUUUAGAGGAGAUCUUUGAUCCAGAAGAUAUCGCCAUUAUAAGUGCCAUGCCUGUGGGUGCGCCAACUAAGGAGGAUACACUGGGUUGACAUUUUACAAAAUCCGGAAAAUAUACAGUCAAAUCGGGAUAUCAUACCGCACGGUUAGGAGAUUUGGAGACAAAUUUCUCAUUGAUUGGACCAGACAUCACACCGUUAAAAGCACAUUCUUGGCAAGUGCAUUGUCCACCUAAGAUACGUCAUUUUUUAUGGCAAAUUUUAACGGGUUGUGUACCAGUUACGGAAAAUUUGCGGAGAAGGGGAAUUGAUUGUGAUACAGGUUGUGCUAGAUGUGGCGAACUAGUGGAAACAAUCAAUCAUACACUCUUUCAGUGCCACCCGGCACGACAGGUUUGGGCACUCUCUCAGAUUCCUACGGCAAUGAGAAUUUUUCCAACAGAGUCUAUUUUUGUGAAUUUGGACUAUUUAUUUUGGAGAAUACCUUCGGAACUUGACUCUUCAGCCUUUCCAUGGAUUAUCUGGUAUAUAUGGAAAGCAAGGAAUGACAAAAUUUUUGAAAAUAUUGAUAAAGAUCCGUUAGAGGUAUUACGGUUAGCUGAAAAAGAAGCACAAUUGUGGCAGUCAGCCCAAAUUGAGCUUCAUCAUGAAUCUCAUGGUACUGUGGAAUUGGUAAAUCGUUCUCGAGUGGGGAAUACUUCACUUGACUCGAAUUAUUCAGGAUAUCGUUGCUUUGUGGAUGGAUCGUGGAAAGAAAGUGAUAAGUUCUCCGGUACAGGAUGGUUCUGUACAUCUUCAAACGGAGAGCCGCCAACCAUGGGAGCUGCAAAUCUCCGUCGAAGUUUAUCUCCAUUACAUACCAAGUUCGAGGCCCUUCUUUGGGCGAUGAAGUGUAUGAUUGGUGCAGAUAAUCAAGAUUCAAGAGGUAGAGUUCCUUACAGACUGUUCUGAUCUGAUGAAGAUGGUGUCUUCUCCAACCGAAUGGCCGGCGUUUUCAGUGUACUUGGAGGAAUUUCAGAGCGACAAGGAAGAAUUCUCAUCCUUCUCUUUAUCUUUAAUUUCUCGUAAUGCUAAUGUAAAAGCGGAUCAUUUGGCACGAAAAAUUCGUACAGAACCGCUUCAUAUCACAUUUGUAAACAACAUUCCCUAGGAAUGGCUCUUUUGAGCUCUAAUUAAUUUCGGAUGACAAAAAAAAAAAAAGACAUUGGUUUAAUUCUUAAGAUUUAGAAAUUUAAUAAAAGAUAUUAAGGAAACGAUUUUGGUCCUAAAUCUCGAUUAAAUUUAAAGUUUUCUUACAUACGAUCAAAUUUUUGUUUACGAUUUUAAAGAUAUGUGGUUUGUAUUAGUUAUUACUAUAAUCUCGCUUGAUUAAUCGAAUCCUAACAAUCUACACUAAACUAACUAUCUUCACUUACCUAAAUAGAUAUUUUGGUUACUAUUUUGCACAUAUGUAAUAAAUAUAUUUAUGUGCAUACACUUCGUAUUUCAUAUUCCUCCUUAUAUUCACAAAAACGAAUCUAUAGAAACAAAUAAGUAUUCUUCAUAGCUAAUAGCCUCCUCCAUAGGCUCACCGGGUUGCUCAUAUGAGGGCUAAAGUACAUGCAAUCCAAUUCCAACACUCUCGAAGUCUCAUAGAUCGGAACCGAUUCCGGUGCCAGAUUUAACAAAUGAAGAUGCAGAGGUAGAUGAGAAGAAUUAACCAAACAAAACAACAUCAUUCAUUAUCCAAAGAGAAUUAGAAAUCUGGGGAGCAAAACGAGAUCUACGGGUUAUGGAUUAAUUUUGUUCUUCAACUCGAAACCAGAUCCAUUAUUUGACGUCAUCAAACUAAGGGCAAAAUCGACUUUUUGGCAUUGCAAGAAUGCCUAAAUCCGAACAUAUUCGUCGAGUGCCUAAAUCCGAAGAGUAUUUGUGUUUUAAUACCUUAUUUUUAAAUAACUCUUCAUAAUAACGUAAUCAUCGGAUAUUUCUAAACAAAAAGGACUACAUAGAUUUGAUACCAGUUUUGUUAUGGUAUUAAAUAUAUUAUGCUUGGCCACCAAUAUUUUUUUGACCUAACUUAGUCUACUAUAAAUAUUCUAUACCAUUGCGUCUUCUCAUACAUACAAUAUAUCAGAUAAGAUAAUUUCAUGAAAAAAUAAACACAUUUAGUAAUUUGAUUUUCUUGGUACUUAUAUUAAUUUAUACUAAUUUCUCUAUCUAUUUAUUAAUUCAACAAAUAUAUAGUAAAUCACAAUCUUACUAUUCAAUUGAAAAUUAGUAUCUAUAUAAUAUAUAAAAUAUUAUUUUAAGAUUAUAAUUAAACCAUAUUCAAAUUUAUACAUCCAUAAAUCCAUAUUUACUCAAAUGUAUACAUCACUAUGUUUUCCUAUGUAAUUUUUUUUUAAAAUCGAAACCUAAAAAAUGCUCAUUGUAAACAAUAUAUAUAAUAUAUGGAAAGAGAUGUCUUAAGAAAAAUAUAAAAUUUUAAUCGUCUAUAACUAUAGAUAAUAAUCAAAAUUUUAACAUUACAAUUUUAAAAUAACAUAUAGUCUCACGGGACAUAUCCUAGUUAGAUACAUAACAACACAUACUACUAUUUUAUAAACUAGAAUCAUUUUACACUUCAUAUUAGAUAUACAUAAACACACAUCAACAGUUAAACAAUCUAUGAUUACAUGUUUACAGUUAUAACACAACAGAUAUUCCAAAUAAAAAUCGAAUAAUAAAGAGAAAUUGUUAAAAAUGCCCCUUUUUCAAUACUCCUUUUCAAAAAUGCCCCUUUUGAGAGUCCAUUUUUAAGUUUGCCCUCUUUUAAUUUUUAAUGACCAUUUUACCCUUAUUUGAAACAAAAUUAGGUCCACAAAAUACAAAAUAUUUUUUGGCGGGAAAAGUGAUCCCGCAAUUUUCCCGCCAAAACACUUGUAAAAACCUUUAAAAAACCUUGUAAAAUUUUCCCGUAAAAAUUUUUCCCGCCAAAAAAUUUUUUUUUUGCGGGAAAAGUGAUUCCGUAAUUUUUUUUUGCGAAAUCUUUUUGGCGGGAAAAUUUUUGGCGGGAAAAAUUUACAAGGUAUUUUAAAGGUUUUACAAAGUAUUUACAAGUGUUUUGUAAGGUUUUACAAGGUAUUUUAAAAGGUUUUACAAGGUACUUAUAAGGUUUUAUAAGGUAUUUAUAACUUGUAAAACCUUAUAAAAAACUUGUAAAACCUUAUAACUUGUAAAAACCUUGUAAAAUAGCUUGUAAAAUCUUAUAAUAUCUUAUAAAUACCUUGUAAAUACGUUGUAAAACCUUUUAAAAUACAUUGUAAAACCUUAUAAAUAUCUUGUAAAAAACCUUUAAAAUACCUUGUAAAUUUUUGGCGGGAAAAACUUUCCCGCCAAAAAUUUAACGCCAAAAAAAUUGCGGAAUCACUUUUCCCGCAAAAAAAAUUUUUUGGCGGGAAAAAGUUUUACGGGAAAAAUUUACAAGGUAUUUUAAAGGUUUUACAAGUUUUUACAAGAGUUUUGGCGGGAAAAAUUGCGGGAUCACUUUUCCCGCCAAAAAAUAUUUUGUAUUUUGUGGACCUAAUUUUGUUAUAUUUCCUUAUAUAUUUGUGAUAUCUUUUAUUAAAAGAAGGGUAAUUUAGUCAUUUUGUACAUAAAAAGGGGUAUUUUUAAAAAUGGACAGCCAAAGGGGGCAUUUUUGAAAAGGGGUAUUAAAAAAGGGGCAUUUUUGUGAGUCUCCCAAUAAUAAAAUAUAAGUAUCCGGAAAUACUUAUAUAAUUUACUAUUUCUAUACAUCCUUUGUACAUUUGGACUUGAUAUUUAGAGAAGAAGGGGUUCGUCAGAAAAGUCCGAUCUCAGUAGAGAAAGUUUGCUUCGCCGAUAAAACCAUCGUAGGAGAGGUUUUUUUUCGUCGAAUUAAAAAAUAAAUAAAAAGUUUCAAACUUCCCGAUCACAGAGAACUUAAUUUAGUCGCAAAGAUAUUGGAUCACGAGUUUGACCUAGAAUCUAAAAUCAAAGAAGAAUUCAAUUGAGAGAGAUCUUUAUAAUUAAUUAGAUGAUCUUUGUUCGCAACAACUCUGUUACUCAACGAACACAGACAACGACAGAUUAAACAAACAUGAUUAAUAAGUUCAAUUAUGAUUCGUAAAGCCCUACAACUCAACUAACGCAAGUUGCAACAUGAUACUCAUCUAGGCUAGUGAAGCGAGUUUACAACACUUAUGAUGUGUAAAACGCUUAGAAUCAACCACAAGUUAGCUACUUAAGCAAUAUGCAUUAAAAAGAAUAACUAAGAGAAACAAAUCACAGAUAUCACAUAAAUCUUUUGUCCAAAAAAAAGAUGAACAAAUCACAGAUCUAACAGAUCUAGAUAAACGAUCGUAUGAAUCUCCUUCGAAACCUUUUUGCACAACACAUUUCAAAUAAAAACCGAAAAAUAAAAUAUAAAAUAUCUAGAAAUACUUAUAUAAUUUACUUUUUCUAUACAUGCUUUGUACAUUUGGACAGAGAUAUUUGGAGAAUUUAAUUUUUCCUAAUAUAUUUGCUUAUAGUUUUAUAUAAAUAAAUUGAGAUAGUGGAUUCCAAAUUUCUUAUAAAUGUUCAUGGUGAGUUUUUUUUUUUUUUUUUUUUUUUUUGGUGAUAGAGCAUUAAGCUACAAAAACUUUUUUUUCAAGGUUGUUCACUUCUUCGGUUGUAUAUUAUCAGCUGCGUUGUUUGCUCACUACUUUUUUUUAAGAUGUUAUUUAAUUUGAAGUCAUAUGUGUAUAUAUUGUGGAUGCAAAAAUCCACACAAGAAUUUGUAUAAGAUUGAAAAGAGAAUUAAGGGCUAGAUUCUCUAUAUGAGCCUAAGAUUCUCUAUAAGGGCUUAGAUUCUCUAUAUACGAGACUUGAAUCGACCAACUGGACACUGUUCAUAGGAAGAAUAAUACAAAGAGAUUUCAGAAGAGCUUGGAAUGAUAAUUGUACUCAUGGAUCAAGCUACUUAGUAUUCGUUUAGAAAUCAAGCUUAUACGUAGUUUCAUUAUUAUCAUCUAGAAUGAGAUGUUCGUUGGUGAAUGUAUGUAUAACAAACUCAUAUAGAGUGUAAAUGGACAGACUUUAAAUGAUGUGUUAGAGCAUUUCCAAUUCAUCUCUAUUUUCAUCUCUAAAAUAAAGUUUGGAGUAAGAUUUUCUCGAACCCAUCUCUAUUUCCAACUCCAAAAUAAAGAUUUCCAUUUUUUUUUUUCAUAUUUGAAGAUUUCUAUUUUGAAUUUAUACUAAAAUUUGGAGACUUCAAUUUUUAACUCCAAAAUUGAGUAUAAUUGGAACAAAACCCAAUUCUAAAAUGGUGAUACUCUAUUUUGGAGAAAAAAAAAAUACAAAAAUACGUUUCUCGUGUGGACUCCUCUUUUAUAUUGAUUUCGAUCUCUGUAAAAUGUCCGUAACUUGCUUCACAAGCCACAUAGUCUCCGCUAAGGAGUGUUCAUGGGCUGAACGUAGAAGAUUUCAGACGUGGGCCAUAAUCAAAUUGUUAGUCGUCUAGGAAUCUUUGAUUUUUGAAUGGGCCGGAUUGUGCUAAAAAUCCUGCUCCAAGUCUCCAACAUGUAUUAACAUAUAUAAUCAAUUUAUAAUUUUUUAUAUAUUAGAACAAUAUAAGAAAAAGACUUGUUCAAAUUUUAUGUGGGUAAUUUCAAUAUAGUUAUAGUCAUUUUUUAGUUAAAAAUUGACUGAAAUUCGUUGCAACUAAAAUAAUAUUAGAUAUAUUUAAAAGAUACUACCAUUUGAUAAACUAGAAGCAUUCUAAACUUAAUAUUUAAAUAUACAUAAAUACAUAUCAACAAUAGAACAACCUAUAUUUACAAGCUUAUAGAGUUAUCUAUACUAUUAAUUGGGAAUCACUAGAUAUUAAACAACCUUAUGAAUGAUAAAAUAUUACAUAAGAUGCCAUUGAUUUUUAGUGUUUUCAAAUAAAUUCAUUAAAGGUACAAUAGUAAUCACAAAAUUAAUAUAUUUAAAUAAAAAAUAAAAUUCUUUUACAUAAUUAUUAAUUUCCAAAAAAAUAAACUAACUUUCUCUCUCUUAUUAAUUAUGGACGAAAAUUUGAAAUUAAUUUUUAAAAAAUUGUUUACCAAUGAUAAUUGAAAAACUAAGAUUUGAUAUCCAACUAAGAUUUUAUCUAAACCAACAAUAAUAGAUUAUUCUAUAUCAAAAAUAAAAAUAAAAAUAAUAUCAUUUUAAUUCAAAAUUAAAAACACUAUCUUUUAAAAAAUUUAUCAAUGGAUUAAGAUUGAAUUUGAAAUUUCGUAAGAAAAUUAAAUACAAAUAUUUUAAGAUUCAGUUUUGUGAUAAUAUUUUCACAAAUUUUGAAAUAUAAAACGAAAUUUUAUUUCACAAUUUCUAAAAACGAUAUUAGAUAUUAACAAAUAUUUAUAUUUACUAUGAAAUAAACUCAAAUAAUAAUAAAUUUAAAGUAAUUAUAAUUAUGGCCUUCGUUUAGAACAAGUUUCAGAAAUAUCUAAACAAUUGAUUAUACAUAUUAAUUUCAAAAUAUUUUGCGUUUUAUUUUUUCUUUUUCAACCGGAUAUUCCUUAAAUAAAUCCCUAAUAUAUUGCACACAGUUUUGGAAAUAAUGUAAACUAAUUAUAUAUUUUUCAUUCAAAUAAAAUUAUGCAGCAAUAGCAUAUCCCUUUUUAAGAUGUAUCUCAAAUUUUUAUUUUUAGUCCAAAAUCAAAUCAAUUAUGAUUAAACAAUGAAAAGAAGAAUAUGCAAAAUUUAGCUAGGGAAAGAAAAACUAAUAAAUUUGUUAAGAUAUAUUUGUAACUUUAACAGCAUACAUAUUAAUCAGCAAAACUCACAAUAUGUAUUGUAUGGUGUUUAACGGUAAGCAAACAAGAAUUUGGAACAUGAUUUUAAUGGAACAAAAUGAGAAUAGGAAUUACGAGACGAGAUGGGAGGGGAACAUAAAUUAAAAAUCAAAUUAAAUACCCCACUGGCAUGAGUUCGGGUUAUGAGCACUAUAUAAAAUAAAUUUGUUUACACACAACCUUGUACGUACAUUUUCAGUUACACAUAUUCUAUUUAUGACGGAUACGAGACCGUCAUAUUUUUAUUUCACGUAUAUGAGACGGGUUAUGGGACAAAGAAUUUAUGACAAAUACAGGACGAGAUAGGUUCCCUGUUCCAAAAUAGUUACACCUAGCUAAUAUACAUGAAAUAACCAAACUAAAACUAAAUCUAUAUCCUAUUUAACGCAUGUAAUCAAAAUUUUAGAAAUAUUUUGAUUAGUUUAGAAAAUAAAAACGUAACAUCAUUUAACUUUUGCAACUAAAUUAUAACUUAAUUUUAUCUUAAAUAUAAUUUCGCACGUACGUGUAGGUCCGGAUCUUAAAAUAUAACUACGUACUAACGCAACUGAAUUUCGUUCAUUACUCUAACUUUACAAUAUUUAUACUAUUAUGAAGUUCACUAAUACAACAAAAUAUUUUAUAUUCUUAAAAUCUAUAUAACAAUUUUAUAAUAAUAUCUCUGCACGUACGUGUAGAACCAGACCUAAUACACUAAAAUAUAUAUCAUAGAAACAACAAAUAAUCUAUAUUAAAUUAAAAUUUGUUAGAAAUUUUUUUAAAAUAUAAAAUCCCGCACGUACGUGCGGGUCAGGAUCUAGUAGUUAUAUACAACAACACAUAUUUCUUUUUUUUUUUUCUUUUUUUUUGUAAACCACAACAACACAUAUUUCUAAUAAUCACUAACAACAUAUAUUCCUAAUAAAGACUGAAAAUAUAUGGAGAUACUUAUAGAAUUUACUUUUUCUUUACAUGCUUUGGACAUUUAGACUUGAUAUAUAAAGAAUUUGAAUUUUCCUAAUAUUAUUUCCUUAUAGUUUUAUAUGUAUUGCAAAUUUCUCAUAUUCUGUUUUUGGUGAGUUUGUUUUUUUUUUGCUAGUUAUUGACUAUUUAGCUACAAAACCUCUCUUUUUUUCACCGUGUAGAAUGUGGAUCUCACGCGGUUUUAAAGACAGCAAGAAGUUCAAAUGUUUAAAACUAUAAACGACACGAAGUUCUGUUCUCCUUUUCUGAGUUAGUGUUCACACGUGGGAAACAACUCCAAAAGCGAACCAUGCGCGCUGUUUUUUUGGUUGCUAGCCGUUAUACCAACUGUUCCUUACUCAUACACCAAAUAUUAAUUUUUAAAACAUUCCUUUUUUCUGCCAACAAUUAAUAAAACAAAAUUUUCUUCUCUCUCUUUUUUUUUUCUUUUUCUUUUUCAAUUUGCCUUUUUUAAAUAAUUUAAUAUAUAUACCCAUUCACAGUAUAAUAAAGUUUGAGAAGAUGUUAAAAAAAAAAAAAGUCAUCUCUGUCAAAGAUUUUUCUUGAUUCUUUCUUUUUUCCUCUAUUGAAUUUUUUUUUUUCUUUCUCAUUCGUUGUUUCCUUUCAGGCAAAGAGAGGAAACAACGUUUCUUCUUCUCAGAUUCUUUACCUUCUUAAGGCAAAAACCCAAAAGAGAAAAGAUCAAAAUCUCGCAUUCAGAUUUUAGGGUUUCUGACAAAUUCUUCGGCGAAAUUCAAGAUCUAAACUUCGGCAAUGUCGACGAUUUCGCCGUCAUUGGCCGUAAUUUCGUUUCUUUUUCUGACUCUUCUGAAUCUAUCUUUGGUUAUCGCUGAUCCUUCGACGGAGAUUGUUAAAGGAGGAGAGAUUAGGUUACCUUCGGAGAAGAUCGACGGUGAAAAAAACAGAGGCGAAUUUUGUGAAGGAAUUGCUAAACCGGCUUCGUGUCCGGUUCAGUGUUUCAGGCCUGAUCCGGUUUGCGGUGAAGACAGCGUUACUUACUGGUGCGGUUGUGCAGAUGCUUUGUGCCAUGGUGUUCGUGUUGUUAAACAAGGAGCUUGUGAUGUUGGUAAUGGCGUUGGUUUGUCUGUUCCUGGACAAGCUCUGCUUUUGAUACACAUUGUCUGGAUGAUGCUUCUUGGGUUUUCUAUUCUCUUUGGCCUCUUUUGAUUUGGUUCGAGUCUUUUGUGAAUCAAACAACAUAUAGAGAUUGUUUAGGUUUUCUGAUUGCGACUGAUGAAUCUUUUUGUUUAUAAUCUUUUUCUUUAUUGCUCUGUAUUUGAAAAAUUACAUUAAAACUAUGAGGAAGUAUCAUUAUUUGUUUUGUUUCGUACAAAAGAAGCUUUUUUGAAUCUUGCUUUCUCCAUCUCUUUCCCAAGAUAAUCGAGGAUUGUAUCGGUUACGUGGUUAGGUAAACAACCUGCAUCUAGCAUCGCUUUCAAGUACUUGUAUGCUUCUUUCAAUUUCCCUGCUUUACUGUUCACUUCGAUCAUCGUGUUGUAACUCACAACGUCCGGGUUUAUUCCGUUGCUCUUCAUGUGAUCAAACAGUUGGGUUGCUGCAUCUAAUCGGUUUGCUUUCCCAAUCGCGUUGAUCAAUGUGUUGUACAUUACAAUGUCUAGAUAUCCUCCUUGCUUUGUGAGCCUGUCGAGUACCGCGCCGGCUAAGUCAGCUCUUCCCAUUUUUCCUAAUCCUUGGAUUAUUACAUUGUAUGUUGCUAUGUCUGCUGCGCAAAAAUUCUCACCCAUUUGGUCAAGCACUCCACGGACGGUUUUGAAGUAACCCUUCUUGACAAACGAGCUCAUCAUGGAGUUGUAGGUGUAGCUCGUGAGAUCGGUCACACCCAUUCCAUUGAAUAUCUCAAACAAUUUGCAGGCUAAGCUGAGAUCCCCUUUGGACAGAUAGAUAGAUAGAAAAGUGUUCAUCAUGUCAACGUCGAAAGAAUCUGGCUUUGCUUCAACUCUUUGACCUCUGGCCAAACCAAACAAGGGCUUAGGUCGAUUGCUCUGAUGGGCUAAUUGGUCCAUAUAUGGAGAUGAUGACCAAGGGUCAUCUUCCAUAGGUGGGACUUCCUCAGCCCUAGCUCCAUCGUCUUCCAAACCCACCAUGCUCAUGAUAUCUAGGAAGCUUCCUUUACUUGGAAACAUUGGGGUGUAAUCCUUAUCUUUCCUUUGUGGACGUUUUAGUGAAGCUUCCACUCCAGCGUUCCAUCUCAGAACAUUAGGCACCAAGUUUCCUUCCCGUACGUGUUUCAUCAGCUUCUCUUUCCAAUCCCACCUCCCUUGUUUGUGAAACCCGAUCAAGAGUGAACUAAUUGUAACCAAAUCCACAGUGAAACCUCUAGUUUCCAUCUCCUCUACCAAUUUCACUGCUUCCUCUAGCUUCCCUUCCCUGCAAAGCUGCAACACAACAAUGCUAAACGUAAUGGCAUCGACAAACUGGCCCUUCUUCUUCAAGUCACAGAACAGAGUAAACCCAGCCUCAGCUCUUCCGUUCCUAAAUAACCCAUCAAUUAAAAUGUUGUAUGUCCAGCAGGAAGCUCUAACUCCUUCUUGAACCAUCUUCUCAAACAACUGACAAGCCUCAGUAACUUUUCUUGCCUUGAGUGUCCCAUCUAAAAGACAAUUAUACACAACCGUAUCAGGGACAAACCCGUUAUACUGCAUCUCACCGAAAAUCCUCAUUGCAUCAUCCAUCCGGUAAGAUUUACAACAUCCUUGAAUCAGUAUCCGAUAAGUCGAAUUAUCAGGCUCAUGACCAGACACUUUCAGUUCGUCCCAUACAAUCAAAGCAUCUUUAGCUUUUCCAAAUAAACACAACACAUGAAUCAGGCUAUUAUAUGUGCAUAUAUCAGGAGCAAAAGAAGACCCAGAGACCGAACUUCGCUCCUUCAUCUCCUUGAACAAACUCAAUGCAGCAUCCAAAUCUCCCCAACAACCAAAUCCAUGUAUACAUAUGUUAUAACUCCAAGUAUCAAACUUGAAUCGAUUCAUUCCCUUUAACUUUUCAAAAACCGUUUUGAACUCCGACCUCAUAUCUGCUCUUCUUAGACCAACCAAGAGCUCAUUAACAGCAACCCUUCCAGGAAGAUAACUUACAGUAACCCCACUAGUAUCAUCACCAUGGUUAUCAGAAGCUUCUAAAAGCUUAAAGAAAAUGGAUAAAGCAAGACGCAAUUCGUUUUUCUUCGCCAGAGCAAUAAGAACAGAAUCAUAUAAACUAGGGUUUAAGCAAUCUCCUAAUUCCUCCAUGUAAUCCAAAACUCCCAACGCUGAUUCGAACUUACCCGAACGGAUUAGAGAAUCUAACAGUAUCUUCGCCAUCGUCUGGUCCAAGUUAACGCCAUCUUCCUUCAUUGAACAAAGCAAAUCGGGAACUUCUCCGAGAAGCCCUGUCCGGCAAACAGUGCGAAAUAUCUGAGAGUAAGCUGAUACUGAAUGUUUGUAUCCAGUACGGAGAGAAUAACACCAUCGGAAGAAAUCUAGCUUCUUCGAUGGAUCUAUGGAGUUUCUACGAAGGAUCUGGAGAACCACAGGUUCCGAAAUCGGGAUCGAAUUCGCGUCGAGGCCCCGUGUACCGGACUGAGACAAGGUCUUGGACAAAGAAGCGACGAGAAGGACAUUACAAAGCUGAGGAAAAGGUGAAUUAGUCGCCGGAGAUAGACCGGAAAUUGCAGCUGAUACGGCGCUUCCUCUUCCAUGGCGCAUCGCAUAGUGACCACUGAGAAACGAAAUUGAAAGCCCACAUUGACACGACGUCGUUUACCGUAUAAAGUUUCUUCGAGGCCCAGGCUUUUGCCCGUUAAUAGAUUGAUACGGCGUCGUUUAUUAAAUAUAUAUAGAUGGGCCCAUGAAUAAGCCCAUUUUAUAGGGAUUUUAAUUUUUGAGUCGAUCGAUAAACCCUAAGUUCUCUCUCCGUCGUCUUCAUUCUCAGCUUUGCCGUUUUCAUCGAUUAACGAGAGAGAAGCUUCGUUCGCCGUCGUCGUAAAAAUGGGUUUCAAGAGGAAGAAGGGCGAUGGUGACGGUGAGGAAAUGGAAUCAGAAGGUCGUGGAAAGUCUAGUUUCAAUGGAACUGAGAAGAGGAGUGUGAUACUUCCUUCGAUGAUUAAGAACAAGGAUAAGAGAUCUAAAGUGUAUGCUAAGCAAAAGCAUGAGAAGAAAGUGGAGAAGCAGAAGAAGAUUAGAGCUCGUGACGCUGCUGAGAAACGAGCUCUAGAGCUUGGUGAAGAGGUACAAGAUCUGGAGAAGUUUUUUUUUUAGCGAUUUUUGGGGUUUUUGAAUUUGAGAUCUUAAUUUUGGUUUGUUCUUCUUCGUUUGUAGCCUCCACAAAAGAUGAUUCCGAAGACGAUUGAGAAUACCAGAGAAGCUGAUGAAACUGUUUGCCGACCUGACGAUGAAGAAGUAUGUUUAAAUCUGAUGUUUGUUUCAUCUCAAUAUUUGAAUUCAAUUCAUUGUCUUGUUGCUAAUUUAGCGGAAUCAAAUUUGCAGUUGUUUGCUGAUAUUGAUGCUGAUGAGUUUAAUCCAGUGCUGAGACGUGAGAUUACUCCUAAGAUCUUGAUCACAACAUGUCGUUUCAAUUCCACUGUAAGUCUUUUUUUUUUUUUGUACAUAAGUUACAAAAUCGGUGAAAUCUACAUGUUUGUUGUGGUUUUUGAUUCAAGUAAUGUUGUUGGAUUUGCAGAGAGGACCUGCGUUUAUAUCUGAGUUGCUUUCGGUGAUACCAAACUCUCAUUAUCAAAAAAGAGGAACUUAUGAUUUGAAAAAGGUGUUGCUAUUAGUAUCAGAGGAUACUUGUUUUCUUAUAAAGUUAGUCUCUUUUUGUAACUAUAUAACCUUUUAGAUGUUGUUCUGCAGAUUGUAGAAUACGCAACGAAGAAAGAUUUUACAUCUCUUAUUGUAGUUCAUACGAAUCGCAGAGAACCUGGUUAGUUUUCACUUCUGAGUUUCAAGUUUCUUUGUCCUGUGAUAUUAUCUUUAUAUGGUUUGUUUUAAGCUUUUGUUGUUUCAUAUGUAGACGCCCUUCUUAUCAUCGGUUUGCCAACUGGUCCUACUGCUCAUUUCAAAUUGUCAAAUCUUGUUUUAAGGAAGGAUAUUAAGGUAUGUGAGCACAACAUUACUCUUCUCUACAUCGAGUGUAUAUUAGUGAUCACUGAAUUGGAUGUUGAAUAUAACUGCAGAAUCAUGGAAAUCCUACAAGCCAUCAACCGGAAUUGGUUUUGAAUAACUUUACAACGCGUUUAGGGAAUCGUGUUGGGAGGUAUGGUUUGCAUAGUGUUGACAUCUUUUUAUGGUCUCUUUGGUUUCUUGCUUAUGUUAGAUUUUUCUUGUUUCGCAGGUUUUUUCAAUCACUCUUCCCUCCGGAUCCUAAUUUCCGUGGUAGGAGAGUUGUGACAUUCCACAACCAGCGUGACUUUAUAUUUUUCAGACAUCACCGGUAAAUAAUUUCACCUUUUCUUCUUCAAGUUGCUUUUUGUUCCAUUGAAACUUUUAUUGAACAAAUUCAAUACUAUUCAGUUACAUAUUUGAGACGAAGGAAAGCAAACAGAGUGAUAAAGGAAAAGAUGGUGUUCAAGAGACAAUAAAACCUCGUCUUCAGGUCAAUUUUAUCCAUGUUUAAUCCAAAAUUACUCUUGUUUGUGUAAACCAAUCAACAUUAUCAAUAUUUGUAUCAUUAAACCUAAGAUUUUACGUGUAGGAAUGUGGUCCUCGAUUCACGCUUAAGCUAGUUACUUUACAGCAUGGAACCUUUGACACCAAAGGCGGAGAAUUUGAAUGGGUUCAUAAGGUAAAAAUCAUCAGAAGUUACAUUACAAGCUUCAUUACUGUUCUUUAGAGUUUGAUUGAUUGGAUGAUUACUAAUUUGUUCUCUGAUGUUAUUUUGUGUUUCAUUACAGCCUGAAAUGGACACGAGCAGGAGAAGGUUCUUCUUAUAAAUUCUGCUGUCUUUCGAGUUUCACAAAGUUUUGUGUUUAUUUUUCAUUUUCGGAUUUUCCUGAUCUCCGACCAAAAUUGUAUGUCUUUAAAACUUCACAUUUCUUUUCAAUAUAGCCAUGAGCCAUCGAAACAAUCGCAGGUGGACUUGUUUCAACAAUAUAGGUCCUUUUUUAUUUUUUAAAAGCUUAAUUUAAGCUAUAUAGUUGGUUAGCUAUGAUUGUUUGGUAUAUGGAGUAUGGACCAAGAAUUACUAAUUUUCACUUUUUAAUAGCAUUUGGAAAGUACAACAGUAAUAUUCGAUGAUGACAAAAAAAAAAAAAAAAAACAGUAAUAUUCGAUUUUGUUUAGUAAUUAAGUGAACCUUUAUGAUGCAUAAUUAAUAGUUUUACAACAGUUUUUGUUAAUUAUUGGAAAAAUUACAUUUUUAACCUUCAAAGUUAGCACUUUAAACUUCGAGAGAAUUCCACUAACACUAUAAACCACAAAGAUAAUUUUACUAACACUUCAAACCUCCAAACUAGUUUUUUUUUUGCACCGCCAAUAAAAAUGAUGGAAUUAUAUAAUUUAAUUUAAACUAAUUUUAUUAUUUAUUACAAUUAAGAAAAAUCUUUAAAAACAAAAAAAAAAUUCAUUUUUCUCUAUCACUCACCGUCCGACUAUGAAAUUUUAUGAUAAACUUCUGAAACUAGAAACUAAAGCACAAGAAAAACUUAAAUAGAAUAAUAUAAACUAAAUAUAUACUAAUAUAGAAUUUGAGGUACGAGAGAAGCUUAAAAUAGAGUAAAAAAACCAAAGAAUGUCAAAUUUUAAUCAGAAAACGAAGUAUUCUCCGUAUCGGAAGAAUCCAUUGGGAGAUUGAUCCAAAAACGUUUUUACUCUCUCGAGUAGAUAAAUUGGGAUCUCAUAAUACUAAUUGCAAUAAACAGAUGGUGAAAACAUAUAAUAAACUGAAUAAAAAUCUGAAAAUUUUGUGGUCUGAUGGUGAGUAGUCGAAGAUGAUGAAGUUUUUUUUUUAAUUUUUUUUUAAUUUUUUAAAUUGUAAAAUUGUUAUAAAUAGUAAAAUUAAUUAAAAAACUAAAUAAAUUAAUAUUACACAAACAUAAAUUAAUUUUUUAUUAUUUUUUAUGGCUGUACAAACAUAAAAACUAGUUUAGAAGUUUAAAGUGUUAGUAAAAUUAUUUUACUGAUUUAUAAUGUUAGUAAAAUAUUUUUGAGGUUUAAAGUGUUAGUUAGCAACAUUUUGAAUGUUAAAAAUGUGAUUUUCUCGUUAGUUAUGUACUGUAUUGCAGAAAGUAGUUACGUAUUUAUGGUGUCGUCAAUAUUGUCGGCUAUUAUAUUCCCGAAAUAAAAAAAGCUGAAACUUAGGUUCGAAGUUCACAAUUAAAAUACUGCCACGUGUUACUUUAUUCACAAUUAAAAUAGAUUUUUGUCCCCCUCAUUUGUGAACGUUUUAGUGAUUAACAUUAAAUAUUAAUAUCUCUUUUUUUUUUUUGUUGUUUCUUCUUCAUCACCUCUAUUAGUACUGUUGGUCUUUCAAAAAACAAAAACAGAGGUAGAGAGGAAAAAAGAAAAGAAACAGGGAGAAAAAUAAGCCCUUGACUCAAACACUAGAGAAUUUGAGUCGCGAUUUAGAAAGGUUUGUUCUUUGAUCUGUUUUUUUUGUGAAAAAAUGGUGAAAGAUCUGGUAGGGUAUAGAUUUUAUCCGACUGGAGAGGAAUUGAUAAACCAUUACCUAAAGAACAAAAUUCUGGGUAAGACUUGGCUCGUCGACGAAGCCAUUAGCGAGAUCAACAUCUGUAGUUACGACCCUAUUUACUUGCCUUGUAAGUUAUCUCACUUCAAAAUCAUCAUCUUUCUCUCAUCAUCGAUUUUUAUUACUAAUUUUGGGUGUUGGUGUGUGUGUCUUUUGGCAGCGUUAUCUAAGAUCAAAUCGGAUGAUCCGGUUUGGUACUUCUUCUGUCCAAAGGAGUACACUUCUGCGAAGAAGAAGGUAACGAAGAGGACUACAAGUUCUGGGUAUUGGAAAGCUACUGGUGUUGAUCGUAAAAUCAAAGAUAAGAGAGGUAAUCGAGGCGAGAUCGGGAUUAAGAAGACGCUUGUGUAUUAUGAAGGUAGAGUUCCUAAAGGUGUUUGGACUCCUUGGGUUAUGCAUGAGUAUCACAUCACUUGUUUGCCUCAAGAUCAGGUAAUUGAAUUUGAGCUUCUCAAGUAGUUGACUUAGUCUUAUGUUUCUGCUAAUCUAAUUCUUGAUCUUUUUGAAAUGAUUUUGGGUUUGUUUCAUCUAUCUCUGAUCUACUUGUUGACUGUAUAAUUUGCCCUGUGUUGGAUACUAUCUUUAGUACAAUUUGAGGUUAAAGUCAUGUUCUUGUAUAAAUGGAUUUGCUUUUCCCCGUGAUGCUACAUCUAGCUCAGGUUUAGGUUCUGUGUUGUCUCAGAGUUUUAAGUGCUAUAUAUAGAAGUUGUGGCCUAGUGUAUUUGCUUCUGUCAAAGCUUGUGAUUGAGUUGUUUGAGUUAUGUGUGUUUGAUUUUUUGUUUUGCCGGCAAAGAACUUAUGUGUCUGUACUUUUGGAAUUUGUUCAGAGGAACUAUGUUAUCUGCCAAGUAAUGUAUAAGGGUGAAGAUGGAGACGUCCCAUCUGGUGGUAAUAACUCGAGUGAGCCGAGUCAAUCUAUGGUCUCUGAUUCGAAUACUGUCAGAGAGACGAUUACCACAGCGCCUGAAGUGAGUCCACUUUCUCUAUUCGAUAAUCUCAAGUACUUGAUUCUUUUACUCACACUCUCUAUUAAAUUUUGAGUUUGAGCAGCCAGGUCAAGAAAAUUUCUUUGGUAUGUCUGUGGAUGAUUUGAGAACUCCAAUGAAUGAGCAAAAACAAGAAGAUUUCUCUCUGUGGGAUGUAUUGGAUCCAGACAUGUUAUUCAGUGAUAACAACAAUUCUACUGUGCAGCCACAAGCUCCUCACUUAGCCCCGAAUGAUGAUGAGUUUCUCGGUGGAUUGAGGCAUGUUAACCGAGAGCAGGUUGAAUAUUUGUUUGCCAAUGAAGAUUUCAUAUCCAGACCAACCUUAUCUGUGACAGAGAACCGCAACGAUCACAGGCCAAAGAAAGCUUUGUCAGGGAUUAUUGUUGAUUAUAGCAGUGAUAGUAAUAGUGAUGCUGAAUCGAUAUCUGCAACGGUAAAGCACAUCACCCGUUUUCUGUAUCGUUACUUUCAUGGAGUAAUAUGUAUUCUCACAUUUUCAUUUUUAAUAUGACAGAGUUACCAAGGAACAUCAAGUCCAGGUGAUGAUAGUGUAGGUAGUUCAAAUAGACACUUUCUGAUCCAUACUGGUGGAAAUGAGAUUCUAUCGNNNNNNNNNNNNNNNNNNNNNNNNNNNNNNNNNNNNNNNNNNNNNNNNNNNNNNNNNNNNNNNNNNNNNNNNNNNNNNNNNNNNNNNNNNNNNNNNNNNNCAAGAUACAUCAAGACUGGUGCUCUUAUGGCGAAGAAGAGAAGCAGAGCUGGUUUAUUACAGAAGAAGCAAUGGAGAGAAACCGCAAGAAUCCACGGUAUAUCUAUCUGAUGAGGAUGAUCAUAGGCAUCAUACUCUUGGUGGCUCUCAUUGGCAACAUCAUAUCGGUUUUACUAACCGUCAAAACUUGAACCCGCUGAUGAAGUUUGAUCGCGAGAGAUAGACAACGCAGAUUGAUCAAAGCACUCCUUUUUAAACUUGCUUUUAUUUCAUUCUGUUUUCUUCUGAAAUUUUCAUGUAUAUAUGUGCGUGUAUGUAUGAACAAGAGGUAUGUCUUGUGUCUAAAAGUUAAAUGCAAUUUAGGGUUUUGAAAAUUAUUACAUUCACUAUUUGACAGAGACAAGUGGAUUGGGUUUGAAAAGGUUUCUCAAAGAUUUGGUUUGUUGAGAAUUAAGAGAAUGAUUACAUACCGGACAUGGACUGGUCUAUGUGUUUGAUCAUAAGUCAUAACAGUGAGAUUUUGAUUAUCAAUCAAUCAAAUCUUUUAAACUAGUCUAUAAGUAUACAUUUGCAUAUGAUUGAUCCUAUAUAGUAUCAUAUAUAUGAACCUUUCUCUUGUUUAGGUAAUUUUAAUGUCCCUUCCUUGCAAGUCAAGGUCAUAUAUAAGAAUUUGUUAAUUCAAAUCCUUAUCUAGUUAUACGAACUGUUAUGUUUUUCAAUUUACCAAAAAAAAAAAAAGAGAAGAGGAAAUGUUUAUGAUUUUCUUGAAAAGCCUAAUAAUAAUAAUAGAACCAUAUGUUAUAGAAAAUAGACAAAAUUAGUAAUACAAAAUUGCAGUAACAGAAAGUAAUAACGUCAUGUCGUCAUUGGUGGCGGCUAUGAUUUCCGAAAGAUCCUUCGACCCAAAUAAACAAGAGCUGCAUACUUACGUUCGAAGCUCAAGCAAUGAACCGUCAAUAACUUGCCACGUCUUCAUUUUCAUUCACAAUAAAAAUAUAUUCUGUUCUGUAAUUUUUUUUUAUUUUCCUGUAAUUUGUCAACCUUUAGAGCUAAAUUAUUGGAAAACAUUUUUCCAUUCAAUGUAAAUCUUAUCUUAUUGUUAACAGUACGUACAUAAUUUUACAUUUCUCCCAAUACAAGUUAGUAUUAGACUAAUUAAAAUCUGAUCAUUGUAAAUUUGGAGUUAAUUCACAUAAAAAUGUGAGAAAAUUACGCUGAUAGUGACAACAUUAAACACAAUUUCAAAAAUAAAAAAAAAAACAUGUAAAAUUAAAAUAAAUUCACUAAUUAAUAAAAAAAACAUAAGAAAUAAACACAACACGGUUUGGCCGCGAGUAGACGAAACAUACAGCUUCAAGGGCUUCCUACCCAUUAAGAACUUGCCACGUCUCAUUUUCUGCUUACUUACUGAGAAAUUACUAAAAAUUAUUUUUAUUUUUUAUUUUUUAAAAUGUUAGAGUUAUAUUAUUGACAAAAUAGAAUAAAAAAAAAAAGAACUAUAAAUACCACCAACACUCGCUAUCUCUUCACCAAUCACUUACUACUGAUUGUAUUUGAAAAAGAAAGAAAAACAGAGAGAGAGAAACAAAAACAAAACAAAAAAAAAUUCACUCAAACCCUAUAAAUUUUUUAGUCACGAUUCAGAAAGUUUUGCUUUUUCGAUCAGUUUCUGUAUCAAAAAAAUGGUGAAAGAUCUGAUUGGGUAUAGAUUUAGUCCGACGGGAGAGGAAUUGAUUAACCAUUACCUGAAGAACAAAAAUCUGGGUACAAAAACUUGGCUCGUUGAUGAAGCCAUUAGCGAGAUCAACAUCUUGAGCCACAAACCCAGCAAGGAUUUGCCUAGUAAGUUCAUGAUCAUUGAUCUCUCUCUCUCUCUCUCUCUCUCUCUCUCUCUCUCUUUGUAUCAUCAUCGAUCAUUUCUAAAUUUGGGUUCUUUUUUUUGUUGUUGUUGUUGCAGAGUUAGCUAAGAUCCAAUCGGAAGAUCUUGAAUGGUACUUCUUCUCUCCGAUUGAGUACACGAACCGGAAGAAGAAUGAAAUGAAGAGAACUACAGGUUCUGGGUUUUGGAAACCUACUGGUGUUGAUCGGAAAAUUAGGGAUAAAAGAGGAAAUGGUGUUGUGAUCGGUUUUAAGAAGACGCUUGUGUACCAUGAAGGUAAAGGUCCUAAUGGAGUUAGAACUCCUUGGGCUAUGCACGAGUAUCACAUCACUUGCUUGCCUCAUGAUAAGGUAACACAACUCUUUCAGAGCUAUCUUUAUACUGGAUCUAAUCGUUAGCUGUUAUUUCCCCUGUGAUCUAUUUUUUGAGGUCUUUGUUGGUGUAAAGAUUCUAACUUUGCUGUCCAAGCUUGUGAUUGAGUUGUUUGAUUGAUGUGUGUUCUGUUUUUGUUGUUUGGUUGGAAAAAAACUUAUGUGUGUGAACCUUUGGAAUUUGUUUAGAGAACAUCUAGUUCAAUUUGAGGUUCUGUGUUAGUGUGGUGUAAAGAGUAUCAAUUUGCUGUCAAGAGUGUUUGUGAUUGAUGUGUGUACCUUUGGAAUUUGUUCAGAGGAAAUAUGUUAUCUGCCAAGUAAAGUAUAAGGGUAAAGCUGCAGACAUUUCAUAUGAGCCAAGUCGCUCCGAUUCGAAUACUACCAGAGCGAUUAACAGAGCGGCUGAGCCUGAGGUGAAUCCAGUUUCAGAGAUGUUUCAUUACUAUCGACUUGUGUGUUUACUUUGUUGUUGUUGUUGUUGUUGUUUCUUUUUACAGCUUCAGGUUGAGCAGCCAGGUAGAGAAAAUUUCUUGGGUAUGUCUUUAGAUGAUUUGGAACAAGAGGAUCCAAAAACUUGCUUGCAGCCACAAGGUCCUCACUUAGCCUUGAAUGAUGAUGAGUUUAUCCGUGGAUUGAGGCAUGUUGAUCGAGAACAAGUUGAAUAUUUGUUCGCCAAUGAAGAAAACAUUGAUGGUUUGUCUAUGAAUGACUUGAGAAUCCCAAUGAUCGUCCAACAAGAGGAUCUCUCUGAGUGGGAUGGAUUUAAUGCAGACACGUUUUUCAGCGACAACAACAAUAACAACAACCUUAACGUGCAUCAACUAACGCGUUACGGAGAUGAUUAUCGGAAUGCAGGUUAUAACGGAGGGAAUUUUGAAGGCGUGCAUCCCUAUCAAGAAUUAAUAAUGCAAGAGAACCGCAACGAUCACAUGCCAAAGAAACCUUUGACAGGGACCAUUGAUUAUAGCAGCGAUAGUAGCAGUGAUGCUGGAUCGAUAUCUACAACGGUAACACACAUCACUCAUUUUAUUUAUCAUUACUUCCAUGAAGUAUUCUGUAUUCUCAGCUAUCUAUUCUAACCUGACAGAGUUACCAAGGAAUAUCAAGUCCAAAUAAUAGUGUUGGUAGUUCAAGCAGACGCUUGUCAAGUUGCUCAAGCACAGACUCUUGCAAAGAUCUACAAACUUGUGCAGAUCCUUCAAUCAGUAGAGAGACCCGGGAAUAUCAAUUCACACAACGCACUGUACCAUCAAAACAAGAGGUCUUGAGUUGCUCUUAUGUAGAUUUUGUUGCUACUUGUUUGUAUCUUAUAAUCUCAAACAUAUGUUGGAUUUCCUUUUCAGGUGAAACAAGAGAUUCCAAGAGAUGUUGAUGCAUCCAUGAACAAUGAGUCAUCUUUGGUGAAAACAGAGGAGAAGUGCUUGUUUAUUCCAGAGGACGCAAUGGAGAGAAACCGCAAGACACCACGGUUUAUCUAUCUGAUGAUCAUAGGCUUCAUUCGUCGUAUCGGUUUUACUACCCGUCAAAGCUUGAACCCGCUGAAGAAGUUUUGAUCACGAGAGCAGAUCAAAUAUGGCAUUUUUUAAUCCUGCUUUCUUCUGAAUGUUUGAAACUUGAUUGUUCUCAACCUGAAUAUCUUACAGGUCUUUCUUGUGCCUAAAGUCAAAUGUAUAGUAGAGUUUGUAAUCUCAUUUCUGAAAACAGAGAAAGAUUAAGCAAGAGUGUAUUAAGAUCCUACAUAUUUAUCUUUAUGGAACAUAUGAUCAUAGGUGGAUUAGACAGUAGAAUCUCAAAAUUCUAUACAAUCUUUAUGAACAUGAUCGUAGGUUGACAGUAAAACAGAAACAAAAAAAAAACACAUGAUCAUAGGUUAUAUAGCUUUAUGUUGGUCAAGAGUUGAUGAUGGGAGCAAUUUGGUUUAACAUUUUGGUAUGUAGAUAAUUGGUUUUAGUUCUAUGCUUUUUCCUCUGCAUUUCAAAUAAUUUUUAAAUUUCUCUAACAAUUUUAAAUUGUGAUGUAAAAUCCGUUUCCUGUCGUCUGUCGACGUCGUAACUAGAGAGACUAUGUUGACAGAAAGCAACAACUUGAGUAGGAAGUUUCCAACAACUUUUAUGAACUUGCCACGUUUCCAAUUAGGAACAAAAAGAGAUCGAAAAAGUUAUAUAAUUAUUGUUUUCUUAUAAUUAAUUAACCUUUUGAUCAUUGGAUAAUUGUUAGUUUGUUACUUAUGCGUGUGGAGUUUGUGUGGAGUUUGAGUUAUCUUAAUGCGUCUAAAAAGUUAAAAGUUCGCAUUAUAAAAGUUUGAAAUGUGAGAGAUGUAUCUGUAUUUAGUAUAUACUAUCUCUAUAUAAAGAUACUAGAUCAUAUGGUGUUUAAGAAGUUUAGUUUAAUUAUCAAAAACACAAGUGAUAAAAUUGUCAGCCAUUUUACAAAUUUCAGCUUUAGUCUAAAUUUUGGUAUAUGAAGAUUAACCCGUUUAUUAAAUAAUCAACCUCGUGUCUCUAAACAUUAUGGGUAUGACUGAUAAUUACUUUAGAGUAAAAUAUUUUUAGAUAGAAAAAUACUUUACUUUAGGUUCUUUCAUUUUUUUACCAAUCAAAUGAAAAGCAGCAAAUAAAUUUUUUUAACUCAUUUUAGCUAUAAAAAAAAGAAAUUUUUUUUAAAAAAGAAGUUUAGACUCGAUUUUUUUGGCAAAACAAAUUUCACUAAAAGAAUACAAAUGAACAAAAGAAAGUGAAGUAAUAGAGUCUCAAUCACUUGGGACUUUAAAUUUAAGUUAGAGAAAUUGAAGCAAAAUCGCAAUAUAUUCAUUGUGUAAACUUUUUGAAGAAUUUACUUAUAGUAUAACUCAAUGUAUAAAUAUCAUUUAACUCAAACCACAUAUUUCAUCAGUUCAUGUGCCGACCACUAAGCCAGUGGGAUCCACAAGACUUUUAAUUUAUUUUAGUGAGAAAAUUACCAUUUUUUUCUGUGAGAAUGCGUAAAACAUAAGCCUUAAAAAGUAAAAAAUAAGUUUAUUCGACAAUUUAAAUACCCUUCUCUGUUUCUUCUCUUCCCCCUAAGAAAAAAAAAACAGAGCCUUUGAGAAAAAAAAAGAAACCUUUGAGAAAAAACUUCAUCUUCUUGAUUUUAGAGUGAAGAUGGAGCAAAAACCAGGAUUUGGAUUUCGACCAACGGAUGAGGAGCUGAUAAGUUAUUAUCUGAAGAACAAGAUUUUGGGAAACACAUGGCUCGUCGACGACACUAUAAACGAGAUCAACAUACUAAAUCACCAUCCCUCUUCUUUUUCAUGUAACUCACUACUUUCUUCACUUCGAUUUCAUCGAUCGUUUAAAAAAAGUUUUGAAUUUGUUGUUUGUUUUGAUUUUUUUUUGUGGGUUUUCUGUAGCGUUGUCGAAGAUCAAAUCGAACGAUCGUGUAUACUACUUCUUUGCUCGUAAACAGUACAAGACCGCGAAGAAGAGGAAGAGAAGUAUCAAAUCUUGGAAAUGGAAAGUUGGUGGUCUAGUUACGAAAAUUAAAGAUGAGAGUGGAAACAAGAUAGGGAAAAAACGAGGUAUUUUGUUCGAUGACCUUGAUGCUCCUAAAGCCAAAGGGGAGAAGAGUUCUUGGGUUAUCCAUGAGUAUCAGAUCACUUCCUUGCCUCAUCCUAAUCUGGUACUUUCAUUUUUCUUACAUAAGCUUCUCUCUUGUUCAAAUGAUUUUGGGGUUGUUUUGGAAUGAUAGUCAUGUUGAGAUUUUUCAGUGUUAAAAGAGUAUCCAUUUUUUUGUGAAAUUUUUUUUAGAGUUAUAGAAAAAUAUUGACUUUUUUUAGAGAACCAGGCUUAAUUAUUUAUUCUGCCAAAGUUUGUGUGUGUGUGUGUGUGUAAUUGAAAAUAUGAAUUUGUGAGGUUUUGAUAUUUUUCAGGAUUCCUAUGUUCUCUACAAAAUAUUUGAUAACAAUAGUAAAAAGAAGGCAGACAUUUCAAAUGGUAAUAGCUCAAGUGAUCCAAGUCAAUCUUUGGUUUUCGAUAUGAAUACAAUCAGAGUGACUACUAGCAUACCACCAGAGGUGAGUCCUGUUUCUGUAGUAAAGUAUAAGGGUGAAGCUGCAGACAUUUCAUAUGAGCCAAGUCGCUCCGAUUCGAAUACUACCAGAGCGAUUAACAGAGCGGCUGAGCCUGAGGUGAAUCCAGUUUCAGAGAUGUUUCAUUACUAUCGACUUGUGUGUUUACUUUGUUGUUGUUGUUGUUGUUGUUUCUUUUUACAGCUUCAGGUUGAGCAGCCAGGUAGAGAAAAUUUCUUGGGUAUGUCUUUAGAUGAUUUGGAACAAGAGGAUCCAAAAACUUGCUUGCAGCCACAAGGUCCUCACUUAGCCUUGAAUGAUGAUGAGUUUAUCCGUGGAUUGAGGCAUGUUGAUCGAGAACAAGUUGAAUAUUUGUUCGCCAAUGAAGAAAACAUUGAUGGUUUGUCUAUGAAUGACUUGAGAAUCCCAAUGAUCGUCCAACAAGAGGAUCUCUCUGAGUGGGAUGGAUUUAAUGCAGACACGUUUUUCAGCGACAACAACAAUAACAACAACCUUAACGUGCAUCAACUAACGCGUUACGGAGAUGAUUAUCGGAAUGCAGGUUAUAACGGAGGGAAUUUUGAAGGCGUGCAUCCCUAUCAAGAAUUAAUAAUGCAAGAGAACCGCAACGAUCACAUGCCAAAGAAACCUUUGACAGGGACCAUUGAUUAUAGCAGCGAUAGUAGCAGUGAUGCUGGAUCGAUAUCUACAACGGUAACACACAUCACUCAUAAUGGAGGGAACUUUGAAGAUGUGUUUUCUGAUCUAGAAUUCAUAAUGCAAGAGAAUCACAACGAUUACAGGCCAAAGAAAUCUUUGUCAGGGAUCAUUGCUGAUUAUAGCAGUGAUAGUGAUAGAGAUGCUGUAUCGAUAUCUGCAACGGUAAAGCACAUCACUCAUUUUCCUGAUGACUUUUCAUGGAGUUUGUGUAUUCACAGGUUUUUCAUUCUAAUAUGACAGAGUUACAAAGGAACAUCAAGUCCAGGUGAUAGUGUUGGUAGUUCAAAUAGGCACUUUCUCCAGAAUUUCGGAGGUGAGAUUCUAUCGUUGAGCAAAGAUACACAAACUUCUGAUGAACCUUUCAUCAGUAGAAAGACCCGGGAAUCUCAACUCGCACGGUGCACCAAACCAUCAAAACCAGAGGUCUUGAGCUGCUCGUAUGUUAAUUCUGUGGGUGCUUGUAUCUUAUUAUCUCAAACUUAUAAAGAUAAUAAACGAUGUUGUUUCUUUUUCAGGUUACACAAGGUAUGGUGAAGACAGAGAAGAAGGGCUUGUUUAUUACAAAGGAAGCAAUGGAGAGAAAACGCGAGAAUUCACCGUAUAUCUAUCUCAUUAACAUGAUCAUAGGCUUCGUCCUCUUUCUGGCUCUCAUUAACGACAUCAUAUCAGUUUAACUAAGCAUCAAUUCCUAACUAGUCACUCUCUCUGAACUUAAAAUUCUUCUGAAUAUAUAUGUGUGUCAGUGUGUAUUAACUAGAGAUGAGACUCAAUUGUUCUCAGCCUUUAUAGCUUACAGAUUUGGUUAUAGGACUUUACAGUGUCUGUUUCUCUUCAAAUUGGGAAUAUAUGUUGUUUGUGUCUAAAGUUAAUGCAUUUUAUGGCUUGUUAUCUCAUUUUCACUGCAAGAGAGCUUUUGAAUUACCCAAAAGAAGUUGGAUUAAAGAAGAGUGUCUCGUCUCAAGAUCCUACAUUUAUCUUUAUGAACAUAUUAUAUAUAUUAGACAAAAGAGUCUAAAGAUCCUAAAAACAGAUUAUGAGAUAACAAGCUCAUGUAUUGGUAGAUACAUGACAGAUCCUAAGACAUUGGCCAAUAGAUUUGAUCCACCAAAUUUUUAACCCAUUUAUAAAAAUAAUCAACCUCCUGUCUUUCUUAAAACAUUAUGAGUAUGACUAGUAAUACCUUUUAGAGUUAAAAAUUUAGCUAGAAAAAUUCUUUGCUUUUAGGUUCUACAUUAUGGGUAUUGGGUAUGACUGGCACCACUCACAUACCAGCCUAUAAUUUUAACUAAUUCUAAGGAUAAUAACAAAAAAAAAUCUUUUGGGUAAAAGUUUUCCACUAAAAAAAGUUUUAAAAUGGAUACAAUGUACACAAAAUAAACUAAUCCUCUCAAAUAAAAUGGAAUUUAAAUAAGUUCGAGGAAUUCAAACAAAUAUCGCAGUAUAUUCCUUGUUUAAACAUCACAAGAAGAUGUUACUCAAUGUAUACUAUCAUUAUCAACAAUUUUUUUUUGUAUAUUAUCACAUAACUCGAACCACAUAUUUCAACUCUGUUAGACUAAUAUUGUAUCAGGUUCAUAUUUUUAUACGAUGGUUUAGAAAAAAAAAAAAAAAAAAAAGAUUAAAAGAGUAUAGAGACACACGGUUUUAAUUACCGUCUACAUCAAGUAAUUAAAUGAGUCACAAAGCCAGUGGAGCCCACACGGUGUUUAAUUUGUACCAUUACCAUUUGUGACUUCGUUGUGUAGUAGCGUAAGAAAUAAGACAUAACAUUAAAAAGAAUGAUCCUUCUUAGCCUUUCAAUUUAAAUUAAGUUUUUUUUUAUUCGACAAUUUAAAUCCUCUCUCUGUUUCACUUCCCCCUAAAAAAACCAAAACAGAGCCGACCGAUGAGGAGCUGAUAAGUUAUUAUCUUAAUAAAACCAAAAACUGAAUUAAUCGAUAUCCGAACCAAAGUCUUAAAUAACCGGUAGAAUUUUCAAAGUCUUAAAUAACCAAAAACCGAAAUAACCAGCUCGGUUCGGUUCGGGCAAACCAAGUCGCAAGGCGAAUAAAACCCAAAAAAUAUUGAAGCUAAGACGAAAAACAAAGAAUUUAAGAUUUUUGGGAGAGAUUCACAUGUGUUUCUCUCAAGUGGAUUAGCCACUUUAAAAUGUUCCUCGAUGAUAUUUUUGAUAGUGAUUUUUUUUCCUUUAUCUUUUUCAUGAUCAGGAUUAGACGAAAUUUUUUAUUAUUUAUGAGAUCAGUGCUGAUGAAUAGAUUUUUAAUUUGGCUUUUUCUAAUUAUUUUUCCUUUAUAGUUGUCAUUUUUGUGUGUCAAAAAAAAAUUUAAUAUGUUCAUUCGUUUUGGUGUGUUUAUAUUAGUUGUCAUUUUCUAAUUAUUCUGGUGUGUUUCGUCUAGCGGUUUAUUCAUGUAUAAUUUGUAUGGUUUCCGGUGAUGAGGGUUUGUCUAAAUUUUUGUGUGAGUCAAUUUUGUAUGUUGCUAGGUAACCGUUGUGCUUCGUCUAGAGAUCGUUUGGUCUUCGGCGAUUAAGUUAGCGUUAGCCAAAUUUAUGUGUUUCAUCUAGCGCUUGUGGUCUUCAAGAUUAAGUUGGCGUUAGUCGAUUUUGUGGGUCUAACGAUCGUUUGGGCUUUGGCGAUUAGGUUCGUAAGUCAUUUUUGUGUUUUCGUGUGUGUGUUUUCGUUUGCUUCGUUGCUCUCUACGCUCCGUCUCUCUCACACCCUAUACAUACAUCUACGCAUACACACACACACUCUCACACCCUACACACACGUCACCGAUUUUCAUCUACACCCUAUACAUAUCCAUCUUUCAUCAAAAAAAAAAAAAAAAAUUACAUACAUACAUACACAAUCUGGUUAACUUCAAAGGUAGGCCAAGUAGAAGAUGGAACUCCGGAGACAGUCCCUAGGCUUUGUAUGCUCUGCAAAAUUUAGUUAAAAUCAAUCAUCAUUGGUCAUUACAAUCUUUUUUCCACCUUGUCAACAGUUUUUAUACAUACAUUAUUAUAAUUACGUUACUUAAAAAUCCAAAUAUGAAUAAAUCAGUUAGACUAAACCAAUUCUUCCUCAGUUUCUAACGAAUUUCUUUUAAAAAAAAUCUUCUAUGUUUUCUUAGACAGAACUUAUCUACUUAAAUUAUUCUCACAUAAUUGAAGUUAAGACAGCAUGAUAUAUAAUUUAAAGACUCGCAUAUAUAACUGAAAAUUAGUUUCUUAACACAUUUUUUUUUUAAAGUUACUAACACAUGUAUAGCUAAAAAUCAGUUCAUUAGAUUUAAGACAGCAAGAUCUAUAAAAUGGAUUAAAAACAGAGCAGAGUAAUUAGCAGAGACUAGCAAGAAUCUUUGUUUAACUCGAUAAAAGAUUUUCAUCUACACUUCCCCACAUGUUAGAAAGAUGACGAACAGGGUAAUUAGCAGAGACUAAGAAGAAUCUUUUAAUGGUAAACAAGCUAUAGGAACUAGAUCAAGAGUAGUUUACCUCUAAGAUGAUGCUUCUAUGUUUGUUUCUGUUGUCGGAAUGAGAACUCAAGUGGAAGAACAGAACUAAUAAGAGGAUAGAACAGAGAGUGUUAUUGACGUUUGUAAGAGGGAGGAUUCAGAUUUGUGUCCGCAGAUAGGAGUGGUAGUACUUAUAGAGUCCAUUAUCUUAAUUUUUUUCAUUAAAAUAUUAAUUCAAACGAUCAAAAAAAUGUUACCGUUUCACAACGUUCAUAUUUCCCUGCUCCCAAGUCAAAUCUAAACGUUGGAACAAUAAAUCGUAAAAUUAUUAAUUCAUUUUCUUUUGUUAUCAACCUUUUGAAUUAUUCAAGUAUUAAAUAAUAUUUGAAAUACAUAUUACAUUUAUUAUUGCUUCCAUUGCUUUAUCACUCGUGAUGAUUUUUUUAAAAUUCGACUUCUUUAUUUUCUUUUCUACUUGUCCGAUUUUUUUAAUACGAGUUUCAAAUUGGGGAAGAUUAUUACUUGUGCCCAAAGUUAAUGCAUUUUAGGGGUCUGUUAUCACAUUUUUAUUGUAAGAGUGUUGCUGAAUCACCCUAUUACAGUAUAUGAAGAUUUGUGAAUAUGAAGGAGUUAACAGAGACUUAACAGUGUUAAUUGUAUAAUAACAGCACCGUUAACUAUUGUAUAACUCAUCUAUAAAUACCCUUGUAUAGCUUAACAUCAGAUUAAUGAGAAUUGCAUAUAGUUUUAUGACUUCUAAUAUGGUAUCAGAGCAUUAAACGCUUUCUCAUUCAAAAGUUUGUUACAUUUUCCUAGAAAAUUCUACUUUCCCGAGAAAAUUUUUUUUUCGAAGCUUGUUUUCUUCUCGACGAUCUCACAUCAGCCCUUGUUGUGUUCAUCUUUUCUCUCAUCGAUAUCCGAUUCUAAUCGCGAUGGCGAGGAAAGGAACCAAGCAGCUCAGAAAUCGAUCGACAUCACAAGAUUCCGGUGAAGAUUCACCGAUUGUUACUCGAAGCUCGAAUCCAGGUUCAUCUUCCAUGAAUCAGCUACCAGCGAACUCCGAUUCGAUUGAUAGUCAUCAUAAUCCUUACUUCCUUCACUCUAGUGAUCAUCCUGGUAUAUCAAUCGUAUCAGAAACUCUCACUGGUGAGAAUUACAAUUCAUGGAUCAUAACUAUGACUACUAGUCUAGAAGCUAAGAAUAAGUUCAGUUUCGUUGAUGGAUCUCUUCCUCGACCGCUUGAAUCUGAUCCUCUGUUUAAGAUCUGGACUCGUUGCAAUAGUAUGGUUAAGGCCUGGAUUCUUAAUGUUGUUUCUAAGUAGAUCUAUGCUAGUAUCUUGUAUUUCAAUGAUGCUACUGCUAUUUGGGAUGAUCUUUACAGGCGUUAUCACAAGAGCAAUCUUCCUCAGAUUUAUAAUUUGGAGCAAGAGAUCAGUUCUUUGCGUCAAGGCAACAUGUCUCUCUCUGAUUAUUAUACAAAGAAGAUUACUCUCUGGGAACGUUUAGCUUGUACAAAGAACUUGAUGGAAAAUGGUGGUUGUCGUUGCUCUCAGGUCAUGAAACUUCUGGAUGAUCAUGAGACAACAAGGAUUACUCAGUUUCUUAUGGGACUUAAUGAUGAUUUUUCUAAUAUCAGAGGUCAGAUCUUGAACAUGAAACCAAGACCUAGUCUCUCUGACAUGUAUAAUAUGCUUGAAUCAGAUGAGUCUCAGAGACAAAGAAUUGUGAUUACACCUAAUCCAUCUGCCUUCCAAGUCAAGACUCAGAUCUCCAGUUUUCAGCAGCAGAGUUUUCAGAAAUCUCGUAUUUCCUGCACACAUUGUGGUUUAUCUGGUCACACUACUGACAAAUGCUACAAGAUUAUUGGUUAUCCUGCUGGUUGGUUACCAAAGAAUCAGCGAAAGAAUCCUAAUCAACGUUUCACUCCUUCUGCAUCAGCCAAUCUUGCUAUCACUGACUCUACUUCGGAUAUUGAUAAGGGUGUGGCUCUAUCUAAUGAUCAGAUUCAACAUUUGGUUUCUUAUCUCAGCUCUAAGUUGCAGCCUCAGCUCUCUACUGGUUCUCCUAAUGCUACUAUUACUGAGAUUCCUGCAGAGGCUUCUUCUUCUUCAAGCAUGAAACCUACUAUUUGUCAGCUAACUGGUAUCUUCUUUCCCUCCAUAUUUUGUUCAAUGUCAGCAGAAAAUGGUUCAUAUUACUACUCUACUGAUGAUAAUAUAUCAAAUAUGGAUACAUGGGUAGUGGAUACUGGUGCUACUCACCAUGUUACAUAUGAUAAGAAUCUGUUUCAAAUGAUGAUGCCUAUUCAUGAUACUACAGUGAAGCUACCUACUGGCGUUGGUGUUAAAAUAGAGGGUUUGGGAACAGUAAAACUCAGUGCAUACUUAACUUUGCACAAUGUCUUAUUCAUUCCUCAGUUUAAGUUCCAUUUACUCAGUGUGAGCUCUUUAACUACACAGAUUCAUUGUUGUUUGUGGUUUGAUUCUCAUGGCUGUGAUAUUCAGGAUCUUUCAAGGGAAUUGAUAAUUGGCAAGGGUAGACUGCACAACAAGUUAUAUUUCUUGGAUUUGCAGUUUCAACCGUCUGAAGUUUCAAAACCAACAGUUUGUGCUACCAUCAAGAUCAGUCCGCAACUUUGGCACCAACGAUUGGGUCAUCCUUCUUCUCAAAAGCUACAGUCUAUAUCUGGUUCAUUAUCUGUAUCUGUUUCUAGUUCUCUUUCUCCAAGAGAAAACCAUUGUAAGGUUUGUCACCUUGCUAAACAGAAGCAUUUGCCGUUUGUAAGCCGGAAUAAUAAAACAAAUAAAGCUUUUGAUUUGAUCCAUAUUGAUACAUGGGGGCCAUUUGCUGUUACUUCUCAUGAUGGUUAUAAAUAUUUUUUAACAAUUGUUGAUGAUCACUCUAGAGCUACAUGGGUGUAUCUUCUCAGAAAUAAAUCAGAGGCUGUCACGGUGUUACCUGGAUUCAUUGCUAUGAUUGAGACUCAGUUCAAUACUAAGGUUAAAGGAGUUCGUUCAGAUAAUGCUCCUGAGUUCAAUUUUACAAAAUUCUACAAAGAAAAAGGUAUUGUUGCUUAUCAUUCAUGUCCAGAGACACCUCAGCAGAACUCAGUCGUGGAAAGAAAGCAUCAGCAUCUCCUUAAUGUUGCUAGAGCCCUUAUGUUUCAGUCUCAUCUCCCUCUUGAGUAUUGGAAUGAGUGUAUUUUGACUGCGGUUUUUCUCAUCAAUAGGCUACCUACAGAACAACUUCUUAAUCAGUCACCAUUUGAAAUAUUGAUGCAGAUACCGCCUGAUUACAGUGCUCUGAAGUCAUUUGGAUGUUUAGCUUAUGCUUCUACUUCUCCACAUCAAAGACACAAGUUUGCUCCUCGUGCAAGAGCCUGUGUUUUUCUUGGAUACCCUACUGGUGUAAAAGGGUAUAAACUUCUGGAUAUUGAAACACAUGCUAUUUUCAUAUCUAGACAUGUGAUUUUCCAUGAAGAAUUAUUUCCUCUCCAAGGUGGAGACAUGUCACAGCAGAUUCAGAAACUGUUUCCUUAUGUGACAAAGAUUGUUGAUGAUUUAGCAGUAGGAGAUUCUGCUAUCACAACAGAGUCACACAAGGAUUCAGAGCAACAUGAUGUUAAUAUUGAUCAUUCUGCAGUAGGAGAUUCUGCGUUUAUCAAUGACACACCUGAGCUAAAUUUGGAUUCUGAGCAAAGGGUGAGAGUCAGUAAUUCUACAGUAGGAGAUUCUGUGAAUACUACUAUCACUCCUGCGCCUGAUCCACUGAAUGCACCAACUGUAGAAGAUUCAGUUGUUGUCAAUGCAGACAAUAAGCAUGGUAGUAAAGAUCAAUUUGAUCUGGUUCUUGAUAUUACAAGAAAGUCAAAACCACCUGCAUAUCUGCAGGACUACCAUUGUUAUAAUGUGAGUUCUGAUGUCAAAUAUCCUCUUUGCAAUUAUUUGUCCUAUGACAGGAUAUCAGGACCAUAUCUCUUUUUCUUGACGGUCAUCACUAAAGAAUUUGAGCCUUCAACAUAUACAGAGGCAAAGAAACACAUGGUCUGGAUUAAUGCUAUGGGAGAGGAGUUAACAGCUUUAGAAUCCACAAACACUUGGACCAUUUGUUCUCUGCCUGCUAAUAAACACAUCAUUGGUUGCAAAUGGGUAUAUAAGGUGAAAUACAAUUCUGAUGGCACUCUUGAAAGACAUAAAGCUCGUUUAGUAGCUAAAGGUUACACUCAGAAGGAAGGAUUGGAUUAUGUUGAUACAUAUUCUCCAGUUGCAAAGCUUACUUCUGUCAAGAUGUUACUUUCUUAAAUGGCGACUUGAAAGAAGAAAUAUACAUGCAGUUACCACCUGGUUAUGUUGCUCGACAGGGGGACUCUCUACCAGAAAAUGCAGUAUGUAAACUAAAUAAGUCUCUUUAUGACUUAAACAAGCCUCAAGACAAUGGUACUUGAAAUUUGCAGAGACACUGGAGGCCAUUGGUUUUCAGAAGAAUCAUUCAGAUCAUACUUUAUUCACCAUGGUGAAAGGUUCUACUGUUCUCAUUGUCCUUGUUUAUGUGGAUGAUAUAAUAGUCUCGAGUAACAAUGAUGAUGCUGCUGCUUAUGUCAAGGCUCAACUGCAGUCACAUUUUAAACUGCGAGAUUUAGGACCUGCUCAAUAUUUCCUUGGUUUGGAGAUAGCAAGAUCUCAAUCUGGUAUUUCAGUUUGUCAAAGAAAGUAUGCUCUUGAACUAUUAGAUUCUGCUGGAUUGUUGGGAUGUAAACCUUCUUCUAUUCCUAUGGAACCAAAUUUAAAAAUGUCCAAGGAUGAUGGUGAACUCAUUGAUAAUCCAGAAACUUAUAGAAGCAUCAUUGGUAAAUUGAUCUAUUUGACUAUCACCAGACCGGAUAUUUCUUUUGCUGUUCGCAAGUUAUCUCAGUAUACACAAGCUCCAAGGGAUUCACAUUACAAGGCUGUUCUUAAGCUCUUGCGUUACAUCAAAGGAACAGUUGGUCAAGGUCUUUUCUAUUCCUCUGACCCUAAUAUGACUUUGUCUGCAUUUGCUGAUUCAGAUUUUGAUGCUUGUCCGGAUUCUCGAAGAUCUGUUUCUGGUUAUUGUGUUUUUCUUGGAAAUUCACUCAUUUCUUGGAAAUCAAAGAAGCAAGAUAUAUGUUCACGUUCAUCAGCAGAAUCUGAAUACAGGAGCAUGGCUUCAGCAGUGUGUGAAAUUGUUUGGAUCCGGAGUUUACUGGAAGAUUUGCAUAUUCCUGUUGAUAAUCCUACUGUUCUAUACUGUGAUAAUCAGGCUGCGAUUCAUAUUGGCAACAAUCCUGUCUUUCAUGAAUGUACUAAACACGUUGAAAGGGAUUGCCACACAGUCAAGGACAGAGUUUCUCAAGGAAUUCUGAAGCUUAUUCAUGUACGUACAGAAUGUCAAGUUGCAGACAUCCUCACCAAACCCUUAUAUCCUGGUCAAUUCAAGAUUCUUUUGGGUAAGCUUGGCAUUUCGAAUCUCUUCAUGCCAGCUUAAGGGGGACUAUUACAGUAUAUGAAGAUUUGUGAAUAUGAAGGAGUUAACAGAGACUUAACAGUGUUAAUUGUAUAAUAACAGCACCGUUAACUAUUGUAUAGCUCAUCUAUAAAUACCCUUGUAUAGCUUAACAUCAGAUUAAUGAGAAUUGCAUAUAGUUUUAUGACUUCUAAUACACCCAAAAGGAGUUGGAUUGAACAAAAGAAAUUCAAGAUCUCACAUUUAUUUUUCUAAACAUAUUAUCAUAGGUGAUUUAGACAAAAGAGUUUAAAGACCCUAAAAAAAUUAUGAGAUCACAAGUUAAUUACAAAAGAAGGUAGAUUACAAGACAGAUCCUAAGUGUUUCAAGAACAUUGGCCCAGAGAUCUGAUCCACCAAGAAUCUAAUUGAGUGUGCAAUGAAACACACUGCUAAGCAUCUGCUCGUUGCUGAUUCAGUCAUCACUAGUAAUAAAUCAUGAUGAAAUAAACAAAACAAACAUGUCAGGUACUUGUAAGGUCGAUAACUCUAUGCACAAUCGCAACACAGAGUCAAAGAUUCUGACCUUUAAGAGCAACUGCGUUUGAUGUUAAAACGAGCAUAUCUACGAUGAAGAUCACAGAAACAGGGAAUUCCCAGACCUGUAACCAAAAUUACAUACAUACCACAUUUUAGCAUUUAAAGACCUAUAUCUUCUUCGGUAUCAUCGGUUUAAGAGCUUAGCAUGGAAGCAAGAAGAAGCUAUGUCCAUUGGUUAUGAUAUUAUAGGCAAGAUUUUAAGAAAGUCUUAUGAAACAUACCGGCAUAGCAAAUAGAAAGAUCUUGAUGUAACUCGAGAUUAAUACCCCCAAAAGAAUCUCUUUUCCUCUGCAAAUCAUAUACUAACUUAGACUCAGGGAACAUAAGGAAGUGACUUUGGCCAAAUUCAUAAUAAAGAAAACCUAUAUAUAUAUAUACCUUGACAUAACCAGCAUCAUCUUAGCCGCAAGUGCAAAUGAUAAAACAAAAGCAAAAUUCGCAGAUAGUACAUUGACCAGAACCUGUUAAAAUGCUUAUAAGUUCAUUUACUAACAUUGUCAUAAUCACAUUUGUCUGCAAUGUUCAAAGGAAGAAAAGAGAACCAACCUCUAGAGAUUCAAGAACAAAGCUCAUAGACACAUUUGAUUCGUCAUUGGUUCUUCGCAGUAGCAAGCUUCUAUCUUUUGAAAUUGUUAAAGCCUCUCCAAAAUGAGUGUUGUAUAGACAUAUAAAAAUCUAAAAGGAUACAAGUAUCUAGAAGAAGAUAAGCUAAGACCAAUUUCCACAACAGAUGCUGCCAAAUUGUUUAAAAUCCUCUUAAGAUUCAUACAGUAUAUGUUUAAACAGAGAUCAGACAUAAAUUAAAACUGUACCUGAAUAUUAACAGAUUCUUGAUUAAACACAUUGUAAAGUAAGUGUCUAUAAGCCUUAGUUUUGUGAAGAAUCAAGUCGAUGAAAAUAAUCUGAUUAUUAUCAAAACACACACAAAAAUCAAAACUUGAUGCACACAAAAGCAUAAAAAUUGAAACUUGAAGAUAGGGACAUUGAGAGAUAGACCAAUAGCUCACACUCGACGUAUUCGUCUGCUACUUCAUUGCAAUUCUCCUACCACAAUUUAACAUCAAAAAAAAAAGGUGAAAACUUUGGGAAAAUUACAAGUAGAGAGAUUAAUUAGUUUUGGUAACAAAAGCUUACGCAUUUCAUGAGGCGAAAAUUGCCAGGAGAGUAUUGAAUGAACAAAGAUUUGACCUUAUGCCCACACUCUACACACGUCUUCUUCUCUCUCGCCAUCUCUCUCUCUGUCUUUCUCCUUCUUCCCGACCGGAUCCUUCAUUCGGGUUUUAACUUGGGCUAUAAUGGGCCUUUUUAUGGGCUGAAGCCCAAUUUAGUUUUCAGACGGCAGUACUAAGCCUAUUGUUAUUAAUUAAUACAAGAUAUUACACUCAGAUUAUAUAAUACUAGUGUCUCUGCCCGUGCGUUGCACGGCCUUUUUUCAACAGUUUGAAUCUCUCUUUAGAUUGGGCUACCAUUUACUAUAAAUGCUUAAAGCUUUGAGAUUUGUGAUCAAAUUGUGUUAUGAUAAUUACAAGAGUUCACUUGUAAUAUACUGCUUCAGUUCAUGACAAUUGAUAUUGUUUAUUACUUCAGUAACGUUGGCAAGCGACUGCUUUGAAUCCAUGUGUUGCUGUCAAAAGCUGGACUUAAGUAAUGCGUAGCUCUUAUUUCCAAUCAUAUUGGACUUUUAUUACAAUUUUUUUUUUUGACAACAUCCUCUAGUAAACCAAAAAACUACUUAUGGAUUUGCUAAUAGAGAGUUUACAGUUUGUAAAUAUAGAGUUUAUAGUUUUUUUUUUUUAAUUUCUAAAUAACAGGAAUUCCAGAAUGCUUAUAAGUCAAACCAUCGAUUUUAAACCGAGGUUAACAACUUUCACUAGGCCUUGGAAUUGGACCCGAUCGGUUUAUUCGGGUUCGGUUUCUCGGUUUUCCGGUUAUUUUGGAAUUUGAAUGCUAUUCCGAAACUAACCGACUAAGAUUUCGGUUCUGUUCGGUUCGGACACGGUUAUCUCGGUUUUUGCAAUUUGGUUAUUUCGGUUUAGUUGUUUUGGGCCAAAAAUGUGAUGUCUGUUUUUUUUUGUGGAAUUAAGUGUUGGGUCAAAAAUGGACUGUCUGUUUUUUUUUUGUGGAAUUAAGUGUUGGGCUUUCUCUAAAAAAACAUAAUUGGGGACAAAAAAAAAAAAAAAAAAACAGAGAAAAAGAAGAUUUUGUGUCGAGAAGAAAUCGACGAAGCAACAACGACCGACGAACUGAUGACUGGAGACACCGGCGGCGAGAUCUGUAAGGUGGAGCUCGUGUAUAGAUCUGAAAGGCGAAGAAGAUGAUGAUGUUCAAAGAUGGUGAAUCGAAGAAAAAGAUGUUGGUGAUGGAUCAAAGAAGAAGAAGCUGUUGAGUAAUAGAUCGAAGAAGAAGUUGAAGAAGAAGAUGAUGAAUGAUUGAUGAAUCGAAAAAGAGAAAGAAGAUUGAAGAAGAAAAGGAAGAUAAAGAUGAUGAUGAAUCGAAAAAGAGAAAGAAGAAGAAGAAUAAAAGGAGUAAUCGAAGAAGAUUAUGAAGAAGAAGAGCGGCUAGGGCAUUAUUAGGUUAGGGUUUCUGUAUUUCGGUUACCCGUUCGGUUUGCUCGAACCGAACCGAAAUCUUCGGUUAACCGAAUUAAAUUAAAACCCUUUCCGAUCGGUUUAACUCAAUUAAGUGGAACCGAACCGAUUUGUCCAAAUCUCGGUUCGGUUCGGUUCGGACAAAUCGGUUCGGUUCAAAAUCCCAGGCCUAACUUUCACCAUGAAGAAGACGACUAUGUUGCGAUUAUGAGUGGAAGGUAUGGUUUCUUCUUAGCAUGGAUAUAUAAUAAAUUUUUUAGAAAAACAUAUUGAAUAAAAUACGUUCCAUCGUAAUAAGCUGUCUGCUAAAAGAAAAUGAAUAAUUACAUAGGAUUUUAAGCUUGUUUGAUUGACUAAACAACAAAACACUUCUUGAUAGGAAUUGAGAUUGUAGAUAGCGAGUAUUGCAACUCAAGCUUUAAAGCACUCAUCUGGACCUUGAAUGACUCAAAAAGAAAACGUAUUAGAAUAAUUUCGUUAUUUGUAUGAAUAAAGUAAUAAUGUUACUACUUUAUAUUGUCUAAGACGAUGUAGGACAUACCACAUAUGUUAUGCAUCAUUUCCUAAUUGAUUGCUUGAUGAUCCAUCAUUUCCUAUUGGAUUUUUCUUUGUUGUAGCUAAGACACGAUCACUUCCCUUGUUGAUGUAUUUGAAUAAAUACUUGAUCGCUUUCUUUGGUUGCACCAUUCCCUGAGACAAAAAGAAUUGUUUAAGCAACAUCAAUAAGUGAAUCCCUUCUGCAGAUUUCAAACAUGAACAAACAUGAACAAUCGAUGAAUAAAAAAAUUAUCCAAUAUCUUUAAGCUGAAGAUUAAGCAACUUUGUUGGACCUUCAGCAGUAGUGGUACUCUUAACUUCAUUCAUCCCAAUAGCCCAAACUUCUCCAACGAAGUAAACUUUGAUUGAGAUGAGGUGGAAGAAGAUUAGAGUGAUGGUUUUUGGUUCAUAAUCUAAAGUAGUUGAAAAGCUUACCUUUGAAUCAAACGACGGAGGCUUAGUAGAGAUAGGGAGAAAUUGAGAAACACACCUUUCUAAUAAAUCACACCGUUCAAUUCAUUGAGAAAUUAUUGGUUUUUGAUCUCAGAAAUCGGGGAAUAAGGGUGAAAAGUAAUCUGAAAAGAAGAUUGAUUUUGAGAGAUCUGAAACGUUUUUGUAGUUCCAUUGUUGAGAAGUGGAAAUCGUGGGAGAAGAAUGGGUUGCAGUUGUGUCAAAAAGCAAAGAGUUUUUUCGACUGUUUUUUUUUUGGUCUGUUUAAAAUUAAUUAAAAUUUAAUUGUUUAAAAAGUUGAAAGAUAAAAAUUUAAGACUUAGGACAGGUGUCAAAUAGAGAAUGUUGCAGUUUCUUGAAAUUUACUUGUGAUUUAUUAGAUAAGGAUGUUGCGAAUUUUAAUCCAAGUCAAUGUGAAUUUUUAAAUUGUACUUAGGAAUUCGUAAAUUUGAUGCUAUUACAUUAGUUUAGUCUAUUAGGUUUCAACUUUGUUUUUUUUUUUUUUUUUGGUUUAGUUUUUACAAAAAGUCACACAUAAAUAUUCUCACCAAUCUACUUCAAUAUAAAAAAUAUUUAUUAAACUUUACAUCAGUGAAAAAUAAAAACCAAAGAAACGAAGCAAGAGAAAGAAAAGAAAAAACUAAGAAAGAAGAGCAAUGUUUAACUAGUAAUUGAUUAGAGAAACCAUAAUUAGUUAAUCUCAAACCAAAACGGAAACGAAAGUAGCAUAUGCUUGACUACUUGAUACAGACGCUUAGUGAUGAUUGAACGUGAAAGAGUUUAACCACCUUGUGAGACGUUCUAAAGGUGACAACUUUGGAACAUUGGGUGUUGGUCCAACCACAACUUGGAGCUUAAGUCCAGCCUCACAGUGACCUGGCUCUGAGCUAAUGAAAUAAUGGAUUCCUGGUUCGGUGAGCUUUAUGAGAUCGUGGCCUGUCUUGUGCACGGCUACGGGAGAAAUCGGGUCGCAGUAUAGGAAUUCAAGGUCGCCGCUGAUCUCGAAGACAUCAUUGACUUCGUUGUUGUAUUCGAAAAGGAGACUGUCUCCAACAUGGAAUUGUUUCUCUUUACUCCACUGGUAAUAGAACUCACUGUCGUAAACGCUCCAUCUUUUGGAGUCGCCUACCUUGUAGAUAUUUCCAGACGGAAGAAUCUUGCUCGGUGAUGGUGGAGGAAUCGGACUCGACGGGUCAUGGGUAACAAGAACGUCCAGCCUCUGUCCCGAUGUACAUUGAGUAUGGUUUGAGGUGAUGAAGUAGUAAGACCCUGGUUCCUUUAAUGUUACAACAUCGUGGCCUGUGUUGUAGACGGCUUUAGGGAAAGAAGAGUCACAGAAUUCGUACUCCAAACCGCCGGAAACUUGAGUGACAUCGUUGAAGUUACGAUCAUAUUCAAAGACCAGGGAAUCUCCCACGUGGAACUCCUCACGGUCGGUCCAAUUGUCGUCUUCCUUAGGGGCCCAUCCAUCGGAGUCUCCCACUUUGUGGACCGUUGCCGAACAACAACCCAACAGAACCGUGAAGGUUGUUAUCGCGAGCAAGAAGAAGCCGAAGAUUCUUUUGGCCAUGGUUGGAGGAAAAAAUUGAGAAGCGAAUAAGAAAGAUUGUGGUGAGAUCUCGAACGAGCAAAACCGAGAGAGAUAUAGUAAUUGUGUUGUGUUGAUGAAUGAUGAGUUGUGAAGAGAACGUAGCCUUAUAUAAUGUUUUGUAAGUCCUAAUCCUUCUAUGAUUUUAUUUUGUAUAUUCACCUCUUAUCUUCAAUAAAAUAAACACGGUUUGAGAUCUCUUCUAGCUUAUUGGUUUUCGGAUUAGGUUUAUCUUUUUUCUUAUUAAUGAAUUUAAUCAAAAAUUUAUUUUAUACAUUCACCUCUUAUCUUCAAUAAAAAAACACGGUUUAAGAUCUUUUCUAGGUAAGUAUUUUCUGAUUAAGUUUAUCUUUCUUCCUAUUAAUGAAAUUAAUCAAAAAUUUAUCCUAUUUUCACCACUGAUAUAAUUGGAAAUCUAUUUUUUUUUUUUUUGUUGAAAUGUGUAAUUUAUAAAACAAAAUAGGAAACUAUGUACAAGAGUUUUGUAAGUAGCUAAUAAAAGAUUAAGCUAAAACAGAGCAAUACAUGAAACAGAGCUAAGGCCGGACCAUGAGCCAUCGUUGUAGUAGAAAGCGUAGCCGUGGUUUCUUCGGGUAAUCAAGAGAGGAGAUCCUAUUACGGAUUAGCUUCUCACCAUUACGAAUCAGCUGGGCUGUAGACAUACCACCAUUGUCAUGGAUUCUAGCGUUGCGAUCACGCCAUAGAAUAUAGACCGUCACUUGAAAGUACAAUCGAACAAGAAUAUCUCGUAGAUGGUCUCCCGAAUGGUUUUGAAUCGCAUUCACUGUGUCUGUCCAGUCUGGAGUCAUGUGAUGUCGAAGAAGCUUCCCCGCAAGCGAUGACCAAACUGUGAAAGAAUACGGACAAGCAAAAAAUAAGUGAUCCCGUGUUUCAUCUCUUUCACGACAGAAAACGCAAGGUUGAUUUUGUCCCCAUAGCCGCAUUCUUGCCCCCGUAGACAGCCUAUUUCUGAUUGCAAGCCAAGAUAUGAAACCACAUCGUGGGAUGCCUUGUCCAAACUAAAUUAAAUUUCGCCAAGGAACUUGAGGAUGAUGUUCACGAAUCUGAUUCCAUGUCUUCUGCGAAUGGAAUAGGUCCACAAAAUCAUCCGUCUUAAUUCUCCACAGAAACUUAUCCUUACCUCGUGAAACAUGUGGCAAAGGAGUAGUUCUGAUGGAUUGCACAAGGGUGUAGAGCUGAGCGAGUACGUCGAAGCUGCCAACCCGCAGGACCAGUGGCUUCUUGUACCGUUGCAUAUAGAGGAACGCCAAGGAGACGAGGUCCUGAUGGUCCCGUGAUGUCAAUUAGACGACCAUGCUGCAGCCAAGAAUCAAACCAAAAUAGAGCAUUCUCUCCAUCACCAAUCUCUACACGGAUGUAAGGCUGAACCUCUUCACGGAGUUUAAGAAGUUUUUUUCCAAAUCCAUGAACCCAAUGUUGAUAUAGGAGCUGCCCAAAAAGAAUCUCCCUUCAUUAGAUUUUUCUUUGUCCAUGCCACCCAUAAAGAUCCUGACACCGUGAAUAAACGCCAAAUUAGACGAUAAGCAAAAGCCCGGGAUACAUCACGCAACCGCCGAAGUCCCAGCCCGCCUUCGUCUUUUGGUUUACACACAUCAGUCCAAGCGACCUUAGCACCUGAGGAUAAAUUAGGAUUUCCCGACCAUAGAAAUGCACCACACAUUCUUUUUAUCUCAUCAAAACAACGAGCCGGUAGGCGAAAAACAGAGCACCAAAAGUUAGAGAUGCUAGAUAUGACUAAGGAAAUCAAUUGUAGUCUUCCCACAUAAGAGAGAUGCUCACUAGUCCAUGAGAGUAGUCGAGAUCGAAUCUUAUCAAUAAGAGGUGCAUAGUCAUGCGCCGUCAUUGAUUUAGUAGUAAGUGGCAAACCCAAGUAACGGAUUGGUUGAGAUUCAAUAAGAAUACCAUGAGUAGCGGCUGCCUCUAGGAGAUCAUGUUGAAUCCUUCCACCAACAUACAUCGCUGAUUUAUUCGCAUUAAUAUGUAAGCCUGACAUUCGUGCAAAAUUCCCAAAGACCCGAAACGUCUCUUGCAAAGAAGAUGACUUCCCGUCUGUGAAAACCAUAAUGUCAUCAGCGAAGCCUAAAUGAGUAACAUGGACAUGAUCACAACGAGGAUGUCGUCCAAUGGUGCCACUUGACGCUGCUCUAUUGAGAAGACAAGAGAGAACGUUUUGGACCAUCACAAAUAGGUAAGGUGAUAAAGAACAUCCUUGGCGUAUUCCUCUACUUCUAGGAAAAAAACCCUCAAGCUCUCCAUUAACAACCACCGAGAAUGAGGCAGUAGAUAUGCAUGCAUUAAUCCACCGUAUAAAAACUUCCUGGAACCCCAUAGCUUGAAAAAUAGACAUAAUAAAAGACCAUUGUACCGUAUCAAAAGCCUUCGAUAUGUCAAACUUUAUUGCACUUCUAGGAGCUAUAGAGUCCUUGUGAUAGUCUUUUACUAGUUCAGUAGCCAAGAGAACAUUUUCCAACAGUAACCUCCCUUUCACAAACGCACUCUGAUUCGGCUCAAUAAAGUCUGGAAGGAGUAACUUUAGUCUAUUAGCCAGGAUCUUUGAAAUCACUUUGUAUAGCAUAUUACAGCACGAUAUUGGCCUGUAGUCCUUUAUCGUAGCAGAAGUAGCUUCCGGAUUCUUAGGGAUGAGAGCAAGCAAGGUAGCGUUCACCGACCGCGGCAUUUGGCCAAAGAGAAAGAAUGACUGAACUGCGACAACAAAAUCAUGCACGAUAAUACUCCAUGCUGCCACAUAGAACUCCUUUGUGUAACCAUCCAGACCACAAGCUUUACCCGAAGGGAGAGAAAAUAAAGCUUUUUGAAUGUCUUCAUUUGUAACCGGCCGAACAAGCUCACAGCUUUGAGUCGAUGAACAUCUAUAAUUCAGUAAAUCAGAGAGAUAAUCCUGAGAAACACCUUCAUAAUCAUCUACUUCUGCUUGGAGGAAUUCUCGAAAAUGCCGUGCAGCUUCAGCCUUUAUUUCAUUUGAAUCAGUGAGAACAGCCCCUGUAUCCAAAGUUAAACUACGCACAGCAUUGCGUGAGGCGUUUGCUUGUGCCACACGGUGAAAGUACGUAGUAUUCUGGUCCCCACAUUUCAUCCAGUGGAUACGUGACUUUUGAUGAAAAAACUUCUCUUCCAACAAUGCCAACCUCUGCCAUGUUUCUGAAGUCUCAGAAAGGACUGCUAAAGUCGAUGCUGUAGGGUCCAAGAGAGCUACGUUCUGGGCUGUGCAAUAGGCAUCAUAAGCCUCCGUAGUUUUCCUUGGCAAAUCACCAAACCUGGACUUAUUAAGCAUCUGGAGAUGAGACUUUAGUAAUUUGAGCUUUCGGUGAAACAGAGACAAAGCUACACGAGAAUGGUAGAGUGGUGGAGUUUCCAUCCAGACUUGAGCCACUGUUGGGAGAAACUGCUCGUGAGUAGUCAAGAAGUUAAAAAACUUGAAUGGUUUGCGAUAUUGAGAAGUGGAAGUAGAAAGAUGAACCAUGCACCAGGAAUGAUCAGAGAUACCACCCGCUUCGAAAGCCGCAUAGGAGUGUGGAAAAGAUUGGAGCCAAUCCGAUGUAACAAGCGCCCUAUCCGGCUUCUUACCAAUAGGGUUUGAAUCCUGAUUAUUAAUCCAAGUAAACUUAGGGCCAGCAGAAGAUAGAUCCCCAAGCUCACAAAAAGAGACCGCAUUCUGAAAAUCUCUCAUCCCUGUUGUGUUGAAAGCAUAAUCUAGUGCUCUAGAGUGGUCCGUCAUAGAUAAAAUUUCAUUGAAAUCUACUAAGACAAUCCAUGGCAGGUUCGGUUGCAAAGACGUUGAUUUUAAAUGACACAAAUCAGCCCAUAAGGUUCUGCGAUCAACCACAAAAUUUGAGGCAUAAACAAAGGAGCAGAGGAAGUGAAUUCCGGAACUGACCACCGUAACAAGACAUGAAAUAUGUUGAGCACUCUUGAGAAUAGGAGUUAUCGAAACAUCAGAAUUCCAGCAAACCCAUAUACGUCCCAGCCUAUGAAAAUCAUAAUUUGUGAUUGAAGACCAGCCUGGCAAAACUGAACUAAUAAUAGAGUCUAAGAAAUUCUCUUGCACCCGAGUUUCCAAAAAACAUCCAAAAGCCGGCCUUACUGCUUGAAUCCAAUUACGAACUGCAUCGUGUUUGCGAGGCAUAUUGAACCCCCGCAUGUUCCAUGAAAAAAAUGACGUCAUUACUUCCGUGAGGAAGUUUUUUUAUGUCCUUUAGCCCCUGGUGCUAGUCGAUUUAUAAUGGCCUUAGGAGGUCCCCUGGAACGGCUACGGUUACGACUCGAAUUUCCUUUGGCUUUCUUUGUUUUCUCAGUCUCAAAAGAAGUAUUCACAUCCUAUAGACCCUCCUCUUGAUUCUCAGUUUCAACCUUCUCACCAUGCUCUGUUUCUACUAACUCGCCUUCUUCUUUCUCCUCCACAAUAUUGUUUUCCACAACUGGUUUUCCAGUGUCAAUUUGCGAAUCCGGAACUUGCGCGUUCUAGGCCUGAGAUUCAUCAUCCCCCUCAACUUGCAGGACACGAAAACCGCUUGGUGAUACAGACUUUACGACUGGCUCCUCCGCCUUUUUUGAAGUAGAUAGAGACGCACUCCCACUGUUUCUCCUCACAACAGUCCAUUGUUGUUGCUGAUCCUUUUCUUCCGAUUGGACCGACAAGUGUUCAAUCUUCUCAACAUUGUUAGUGUUACUUGGCUGCAACGGAGUAGUGUUCUCGCGAUCUUGAAGCAGGCGUUGACCAAGUUGCUGCACUAUGGUGUUGGUACCAGUUCCCCCUUCCUUACUCUUCUCAGACGCACUUCUCGGACUCUUUGCUAACAUUUUCACCUUCUCAGCCCUAGUACAAUCCUUUUCUUUAUGUCCCCAGGUGGAACAUAGCUUACACUUAGGAGGUAGCCAUGGAUAACUCACAGUAACUAACAUCUCUUCUCCCUUCUCAUUGGUGAAACUUAUCUUUUCAGUCAAAUCAGACUGUAGAUUAACUUCAACCAAGGCUCUAGCCACAUCAAGACGGAGACAACGCUCUGUUUUGGGAUGAAGCUUCACAAAUUGUCCCACAGUACUAGAGAGCAACUCUAGUCCCUGAUGAGAGAACAUGUAGCCUGGAACAUCCCGUAAAUCUAUCCACAUAGGCAUCGCAGAGAGAUCCGGUGGAGCUUGUGCAGCCUCAGGGUUCCAUUCACUGACAACCAAAGGUAUAUCAGUGAUAUGCCAGUACUUCCUUUUCAGGAUACGUUCACGGGCUUUGGCGUUUGCAACGCGGAACAGUACCGCAGUCUUGUUUAAGAUCUGCACAUCAAUCUUUGCCGAUUUGUCCAAGAUAGUCCAAAUGCGAUUGACUGUUGCGUGAAUUGUACCAACGUGAGGGACAUCUCCCAUGAAGUGCCCGACAAUAAAAUUCUUCCACAAUGGCAACGCAUCUACCAAAAUCUCCUCAGGGAUGGAGAUCCGUGCCACACCAUUAGUAACAACAAAAUCCGAUUGAACCUUCACACCAGAAGCUGGAACUUCCUGAACCACUGAUGUCCACGAUUCCUUUUGAGAGAGCGGGGUCGUGUGCGCGAGACUUACGUGAGGAAGUGACGAGGAACUAUCUACCAGGGGCGGGAGCGUCCCCAUUGCACCGGCGGAGGCUUACCUUGCAGAGGAAGAAGCGAUGAGCCACCAGCCCGAUUUUUUUUUUUACCCUAUUGGAUCCUGAACUUGGAUAUCUAUUUUUCUUGUUUAUGGAACAAGAUGUAUAUAUCUUAUCAAGUUAUUUUUAAUUUUCGCCCAAAAAAAAAUCAAAUUAUUUUCAAUUUUAGGAGUAAUUUUCAAUUUUCAAAUGCAGUGUUUUUUUUAAGCAUGCCUUGAACUUUCUUUCUUUUUUCUUAGUUUUACUAGGUUACUAGGAUUUAACCUGUGAUACACCACGGGAUAAAUAUUUAUUUUUAUAUAUGUAUUAGAUUUCAACGAUUUUCUAAUUUCGUAUUAAAGUUAUAUCUUUCAAAUUUUAGCAUUUCUUAGAAUAAACCGUGGUACAUAUUUUAUUUAGUAUUAAAAGUUAUAUAUUUGUAGGUACCAAAAUAGAUUUAACACUACCAUAUAACUCAUUAUAUAUCUGACUAAUGAUAAUUCAUAAUUCUAACACGCCACACCUAUUCAUUAAAUCUUAUAAUUUUAUCAAGAUAAAAUAUAACUUUUACAACUAAUUGUUUUAUUAAAUCUAAAGGAUCAUCUACUGAAGUUUUUUUUGGAAAUAUUUGAUGAAUUGCUUCGUUUUCCUACAUAAACAAAACAUUUAGAAUCGAAAUUAGCAUAUAACUAAAUCCUGACCCGCACGUACGUGCGGGGUUUCAUAUUUCAAAAACAUUUCUUACAAAUUUUUAUAUAAUAUAGAUUAUUUUAUUGUUUUUAUGAUGUAUAUUUUAGUGUAUUAGAUCAAUAUCCACAUGUACGUGCAGAGAUAUUUUUUUUAGAAAUUGUUAUAUAGAUUUUAAAAAUAUAAAAUAUUUUGUUGUGUUAGUGAACUUUGUAAUAAUAUAGAUAUUAUAAAGUUAGAGUAAUGAACGAAAUUUAGUUGCGUUAGUGCAUAGUUAUAUUUUAAGAUUCGGACCUACACGUACGUGUGAAAUUGUAUUUAAUAUAAAAUUAAGAUAUUAUUUAGUUGCAAAAGUUAAGUGAUGUUACGUUUUUAUUUUCUAAACUAUUCAAAACAUUUCUAACAGUUUGAUUACAUGUGUUAAAUAGGAUACAUAUUCGGUUUAGUUUGGAUUAUUUCAUGUAUAUUAGCUAGGCGUAACUAUUUUGGAACAGGAAACCUAUCCCGUCUUGUAUAUGUCAUAAAUUUUUCGUCCCAUAAUCCGUCUCGUAUACGUGAAAUAAAAAUAUUACGGUCCCGUAUCUGUCAUAAAUUGUAACUAAAAACGUACGUAUAAGGUUAUGUGUGUAAACAAAUUUAUUUUAUAUAGUGCUCAUAACACAAACUCAUACCAGUUGAGUAUUAAGUUUGAUUUUUAAUUUAUGUUUCCCUGCCAUCCCGUCUCGUAAUUCUUAUUCUCAUUUCAUUCCAUUAAAACCAUGUUCCAAAUUCUUGUUUGCUUACUUUAAAAUACCAUAAAAUACAUACUGUGAGUUUUGCGGAUUAAUAUGUAUGAUGUUAAAGUUACAAAUAUUUUAACAAAUUUAUUAAUGUUUCUUUCCUUAGCUAAGUUUUGCAUAUUCUUCUUUUCAUUGUUUAAUCAUAAUUAGUUCAAUAUUUGGACUAAAAAUAAAAGUUUUAGAUACAUCUAUAAAAGAGAUAUGCUAUUGCUGCAUAAUUUGUGUUGAAUGCAAAAUAUAUAAUUAGUUUACAUAAUUUCAAAAACUGUGUGCAAUAUAUUAUGGAUUUAUUUAAGGAAGAUCUGAGUUGAAAAGAAAAAAAUAAAACACAAAAUAUUUCAAAAUUAAUAUGUACAUUCUAUUGUUUAGAUUUUUUCAAAAAUUGCUCUAAACGAAAACCAUUAUGAUAAUUACUUAAAAUUUAUUAUUAUUUGAGUUUAUUUCAUAGUAAAAAUAAAUAUUUGUUAAUAUUUAAUAUGGUUUUUUAGAAAUUAUGAAAUAAAAUUUCGUUUUAUAUUUCAAAAUUUGUAAUAAAAAUAUUAUAACAAAACUGAAUAUUAAAAUAUUUGCAUUUAAUUUUUUUACCAAAUUUUAAAUUCAAUCUUAAAAUCUUCCUUAAAUAAUAUUUGCAUCUAGUUAUUAUUUAAGGAAGAUCUGAGUUGAAAAGAAAAAAAUAAAACACAAAAUAUUUCAAAAUUAAUAUGUACAUUCUAUUGUUUAGAUUUUUUCGAAAAUUGCUCUAAACGAAAACCAUUAUGAUAAUUACUUAAAAUUUAUUAUUAUUUGAGUUUAUUUCAUAGUAAAAAUAAAUAUUUGUUAAUAUUUAAUAUGGUUUUUUAGAAAUUAUGAAAUAAAAUUUCGUUUUAUAUUUCAAAAUUUGUAAUAAAAAUAUUAUAACAAAACUGAAUAUUAAAAUAUUUGCAUUUAAUUUUUUUACCAAAUUUCAAAUUCAAUCUUAAAAUCCUCCAUUGAUAAAUCUUUUUAAAUGAUAGUUUUUUUUAAUUUUGAAUUAAAAUGAUAUUAUUUUUAUUUGUAUUUUUGAUAUAGAAUAGUCUAUUAGGAUUGGUUUAGAAAAAAUCUUAGUUGGAUAUCAAAUCUUAGUUUUUCAAUUCCUAUUGGUUAACAAUUUUUAAAAAAUUAAUUUCAAAUUUUCGUUUAUAAUUAAUAAGAGAGAGAAAAUUAGUUUAUUUUUUUGGAAAUUAAUAAGUAUUUAAAAGAAUUAAAAUAUUUUUUAUUUAAAUAUAUUAAUUUUGUGAUUACUAUUGUACCUUUAAUGAAGUUAUUUAAAAACACUAAAAACCAAUGACAUUUUUUGUAAUUCUUUACCCUUUAUAAGGUUAUUUAUUAUCCAAUGCUUCCCAAUUAAUAAUAUAGAUAGAUAUACUACAUAUAUUCGAUUUAGAUAAUUUACAUGAAAACGAAACAUGAGCCCAUUAACAUAUUUUUCUAUAUGUAAGAAUAAUACCAAAAAAAUCAAAGCAAACUCUCAAAAAUGAGUAUAACAACAAAAUCAAACAAAUACAUACAGUCAGACCUUAAUAUUAAACAACAGAAGAGUAUCUCGAGUGGGAUAAUAGAUCACUGGUCAAUAUAUAUCUAUAUAUACAUUUUUGGAUCACAAUUAGCAAAUAAAUCCUGAAGUUGAGAAGUAUUUACAAUGGCAUGCCAUUAGCAUUAAUUAUUUAGAUUUGUUUUAUUUAAGUAAAGAUUUUUAAAUGAAAUUCAUUUCUCAUAUAUUUAGCAAAAGUCUAUACAAAAUCUUUCUUUAUCUAUCUAUAUAUACAUUUUUGGAUCACAAUUAGCAAAUAAAUACUGAAGUUGAUAAGUAUUUACAAUUGCAUGCCAUUAGCAUUAAUUAUUUAGAUUUGUUUUAUUUAAGUAAAGAUUUUUAAAUGAAAUUCAUUUCUCAUAUAUUUAGCAAAAGUCUCUACAAAAUCUUUCUUUAUCUAUUUAAGUAAAGAUUUUGAAAUCAAAUAUGUUCUCAACAAUUUACCAAAAAUCUCUACACAAUCUUUUUAAAAAUCUUGACUUAGUUAACUUCUGAUUUUUAUCUGCAAAAAAAAAAAUUAAUAGUAACGAGUGAUGUAAAAAUCGGGAAUGUUGAUAUUACAAUUUCUUCUACUUCUUUUUUUUUUCAUAUAAUGAAAAUUAUUUUUUAGGGAUACUUUCUCAAAACCUCUAAAUAAAACAAAAAGUUUCAAAAGAUAGCUUCUCUUUUGGCGGGUCGACACGCAAACCCGCAACUCUCUACGGGCUUAUCCGCAUGAACCUGCGACCCGUAGUGGAUAAAAAUAUUAUUCCAAAAAAAUAACAAAUGAUGUUUAAUUUUACGGAACGGGGUUAUAUGGUGCAACGGGUUUAGAUCGAUAUUAAUAUUAAACAAUAUACUAUGGAUGAAAUCUUAGAAUUAAAAAUCAUAAAUUUAAUUAUAAAAUCAGAAACACUAAACAAAAUAAACAAUAUUAACAAAACAAAUACAACUUAAAAUUUUGCUAAAUAAUUUUUUAGUUAUAAAAAAAUCGAUCCGCGGUGUACCGCGGGGUAAAAUCUAGUAAGAGUUCAUGAUCAAAUAUUUCGAAAACUAACCAAAUGAAGGCAAAUAAACCCCUACACAAAAAACUGUCUUGUUAAGAAAUUUUUUUGAUAAAAGCAAGCAUGAGAACGACAUAUUAAUGUUUAUGUGUGAAAUAUUGUCAAUCUAUUGUCAAUAUAUAUAUAUAUAUAUAUAUAUAUAUAUAUAUAUAUAUAUAUAGAUAUUGUUUAUAAGAUAUUUUUAGGUCAAGCCGUUGGGUUUAAUUUGCAAAUGAAUAAUUAGAGCAUUUAAUUUUAUGUUCACAUAUAAAAACUCUAGAUAGGAAUAUUACCUUUAAUUUCUCACAAAGAUUUGGUAAGCAGUUUUGUUAUUAUUAGGUAGGAUGCGAUUUGUUUGUAGAAGACUUUUUUUAAUAUAUAUAUAUAUAUAUAUAUGGUUGUUUCAAAUUUUAGAAAUAUCCCAAAUCGAUAUCCAUCUAACAAAUGUAUGAAAUCUUUAUUUUAUUUAGAUUUUAUGAUUUAUUAUUAGAAUUAAAUCAGCUUAUUUGUUUUCCAUUUUUGUUUUUUGUUUUUUUUUUUUUUUUGUCGGCAAUUCAUUUGCAUUAAAAGCCCAAUGGGCAGAUACAGAAGGAGCAAAAACCCAGGAAGAUUACAACAAAAGUUAACGGCCCAAUCUAAUCUAAAACAAAUGCUUUAGCAAAAGACACGUGUAGGAUAUGUGUUUUGCUCCAUUCCACGCGUCAAGUCAUCAAGCUCCACCGUCAACGAUCGCCAUACACCGCACGAAUCCGAUCAGCCGCCGCCGAUCAGCCCAAGAACGAUGAGAAUCUUCCAUCCUUCUGUCGUUCUCAGAUCCUGUCCAAAUCAUCGAGAAACCUCCGGAUCUAUUGAAAGAAACCGCUUCAAAACUUUUCUGAGCAACACCAUCUCCGAGGAAGCUCCACCGCUUCCCACACCCAACUUGAUGUGGUCUUGUCUUUGCUCUUACUUCAUGAGCAAAAUAAAGCGACGAAGAUAUUACUCCACGAAAAGAUUGGAGAGAUCAGAUUGGAUUUUGAAGAAAAACAGAGGCAUCGAUGGCACGAAGGAAAAGAGAACAAUACCUCGCAAGAGCGAGAAACAAAAAGCCGGACAAAGACGGUAAACUAGAAUCCGACAGCGGUCGGAAAUUAUUUAACUCGUUCAAAGACGAGAGUAUAUACAACUCCGGGGAAGACCGGAAUCAAAACCAACGAGAAGCUUCUCUGAUCUAAAAGAUAUGGAAAUAAAUAAGAGAGAAGAAGCUUUUUUGGUUCGCCGGUUAAAAUUCCGGUACACCGGAAAUCGCCUUCUCUCUCUGAAAGAUAGGAGUGAGAUAAGAGAGAGAUUUUCUCAAUUCUUUCUUCUUCCUUUUUUGUAUCAAUGUUUGUUGAGUGCUAAAUCUUUUAUUUAAUUUUUUAAAACUAAAUAAUAAAUGACAAUGACAUUCUCUUGUAAAUAAGUGUCAACUCUAGGAUUUUAAACAUUCUCUUGUAAAUGCUAGAGUUACUUGUUAAAAUUGUAACUCUAGCAUUUAACGAAUCCUGAACUAUCUAGCCGGCUUCUUUAUCUCCGGUUUCAAAGUCUCUUCCCUCCAGCAGACCAAUCUCAUGAUUAAUAGUUUUUCAUCAUAAUUCACUUUUGCUUGAUCCAAGGCUUUUUGUUUCUCUUUACUUUCAUUUCUCAGUUUUGAUUGCGAGAGAGGCAAAGCAGAUCGAUUUUUAAUUUGGCAUUUUCUAAUUCUGAUUUUUUCUGAACAAGAGAUGAAAAAAACUCAACUGUUCUCAACCUUUCUUGUUUGUAAUCCUAAUUUAUGUGACGAUCCUUCCACUUUGUCUUUUGUGUUUUUUGCUUCGCUUCGUCUAGCCGCUUUUGUGUGUUUGUGUGUAGUAUCAAUCGUUUUGUUAGUCAUUUUUGUGUGCGUUUUAUAUGUUACGGCAUUACUCAUUUUUGUGUGUUUCGUUUAGUGAUUUUGGUUUUUGGUUAAUCAUUUUUGUGUGUUUGCUCUUCAGCGAUUAGGGCCCCCAAUUUUUUUAUUUUGGUUUAUGGCAAUGAGGUGCUUCGUCUAGCGAUUGUUUGGUCUUCAGCGAAUUUAGCAUUAGUCAAAUUUUAUGUGUUCAUCUAGCGAUAGUUUGGUCUUUCACGAUUAAGUUGGCGUUAAUUAAUUUUCUGUGUUCCGUCUAGUGAUUGUUUGGUCUUUGACGAUUACGUUCGUUAGUCAUUUUUGUCUGUUUUCGUGCUUUGUAUGCUCUCUACGCUCCCUCUCUCUCACACGUCACCGAUUUUCAUCUACAUCCUAUAUACUCAAUACAUCAAAAUAAACAGAAUUACAUACAAGCUGGUUAACUUCAAAAGGUUGGCCAAGUGAUGGAGAACUCUGAAAAAAUUAAUCAAAAUCAAUCAUCAUUAGUCAUUACAAUUUUUGUACAUGCAUUAUUCCAAAAAUUAAUAAAUCAUUUUAGACAAAACCAAAAAACCUUCUAUGUUUUCUUAACACAUCUAAAUUCCUUAAAUUUUUGUGUGAGUCAAUUUUUUGUGUCGCUAGGCAACCGUUCGGCAAGUUUUUGUGCUUCGUCUAGCGAUCGUUUGGUCUUCGGCGAUUAUGUUAGCGAUAGUCAAAUUUUAUGUGUUUCAUCUACCGAUCGUUUGGUCUUUCAAGAUUAAGUUGGCGUUAGUCUAUUUUGUGGGUUUUCGUCUAACGAUCGUUUGGGCUUUGGCGACUAGGUUCGUUAGUCAUUUUUGUGUGUUUUCUUGUGCUUCGUUGCUCUCUACGUGUGUUUUCUUGUGGUUCGUUGCUCUCUACGCUCCCUCUCACACAUACACACACACUCACACCCAAUACAUACAUCUAUGAAUACACACACACACUAUCACACCCUAUACAUACACACACACACUAUCACACCCGUCACCGAUUUUCAUCUACACCCUAUAUACUCUAUACCCCUGUUCUAAAAAUCCCCGCCUAGCCCCGAUUAAUCCCCGCUUAAUCGCUAGGCCCACCCUAUCCGCCUCGAUUAAUGACUAAUCCCCUAAAAAAUCAGUAACCCGAUUAUUCUCCGCCUAAUCCGAUUACUUCCCACCUAAUCCGAUUAUUUUCCACCUUAUCUUAUAUAUCCCGAUUAUUUUUUAGAUUGCAAGUAUAAAAAAACCUUUUAUUUUUGUUAUUCAAUCAUUUGAAUGGGGAGUUUGUGAUGUUUUACAAUAACUUGUGUUCAAAUUUUAAUAAAAAUCAUAAAUUUGUAAUAAAAAUCAUAAAUUUUUACAAUAUUGGAUUAAUAUAUUUUAAAAAUAUUAAAAUAACCCUAAAACUAAUCCCCGAUUAAUCCCUGAUUUUAAUCCGAUUUUCCGAUUAAUCGCUAGGCCCAUGCCGAGCGCCCGACUAGCGCCUAGCGAUUUUUCAAACAAGGCUCUAUACAUAUCCAUCUUUCAUCAAAAAAAAAAAUUACAUACAUACACAAUUGGUUAAGUUCAAAGGUUGGCCAAGUAGAAGAUGGAGAACUCCGGAGACAGUCCCUAGGCUUUGUAUCCUCCGCAAAAUUUAGUUAAAAACUUAAAAUCAAUCAUCAUUGGUCAUUACAAUCUUUUUUCCACCUUGUCAACAGUUUUUAUACAUACAUUAUUAUAACUACGUUACUUCAAAAUCCAAAUAUGAAUAAAUCAUUUACACAAAACCAAUUCUUUCUUUGUUUCUAACGAAAUGUUUUUCAAAAAAAACUUCUAUGUUUUUCUUAGACAGAACAUAUCUACCUAAAUCAUUCUCACAUCAUUAAGUAAAGACUCGCAUAUAUAACUAAAAAAAAUGUGUCAAUAACCUGAUUUUCAGUUUAUUGACACAUUUUUUUUAGUUGAAGUUACUAACACAUAGAGCUGUCAAAAUGGGCGGACCGCCCAUGGACUGUCCGUGUCCAACACCUAAUGGACCAGUCAUGGACAAGCCCAUUUUGACAUGGGCGUUAAUGGGCAUGGUAAACAGAGUAAUUAGCAGAGACUAACAAGAAUCUUCUAAUGGUAAACAAACUAGAGGAACUAGAUCAAGAGUAUUUAAUUUACCUGUAAUAUGAUGCUUCUAUGUUUGUUUCUGUUGUCGGAAUGAGAACUCAAGUGGAAGAACAAAACUAAGAGGAUAGAAGAACAAAGAGUGUAGUUGACGUUUGUAAGAGGGAGGAUUCAGAUUUUUGGGUUUAGUUUUCAAUAAAAUUCAAACAUAAUGCAGAUAAUGAAACCAAAACUAGAGUUAUUUCACCUCUUGUUGUAUUGAAUAAAAUAUUCUCACCAAUCUACUUCAAUAAAAUAAAUUUAUUAUAACAAUGGGAAGGAACUCCACAGUUUUUACACAAGUAAAAAAGUAAGAACUAAAGAAACGAAGCAAAAGAAGAAAAGAAAGUAAGAAAGACUAGCAAUGUUUAACAAGUAAUUGAUUAGAGAAACCAUAAUUAGUUAAUCUCAAACCAAAACGGAAACGAAAGUAGCAUAUGCUUGACUACUUGAUACAGACGCUUAAUGAUGAUUGAACGUGAAAGAGUUUAACCACCUUGUGAGACGUUCUAAAGGUGACAACUUUGGAACAUUGGCUGUUGGUCCAACCACAACUUGGAGCUUAAGUCCAGCCUCACAGUGACCUGGCUCUGAGCUAAUGAAAUAAUGGAUUCCUGGUUCGGUGAGCUUUAUGAGAUCGUGGCCUGUCUUGUGCACGGCUACGGGAGAAAUCGGGUCGCAGUAUAGGAAUUCAAGGUCGCCGCUGAUCUCGAAGACAUCAUUGACUUCGUUGUUGUAUUCGAAAAGGAGACUGUCUCCAACAUGGAAUUGUUUCUCUUUACUCCACUGGUAAUAGAACUCACUGUCGUAAACGCUCCAUCUUUUGGAGUCGCCUACCUUGUAGAUAUUUCCAGACGGAAGAAUCUUGCUCGGUGAUGGUGGAGGAAUCGGACUCGACGGGUCAUGGGUAACAAGAACGUCCAGCCUCUGUCCCGAUGUACAUUGAGUAUGGUUUGAGGUGAUGAAGUAGUAAGACCCUGGUUCCUUCAAAGUUACAACAUCGUGGCCUGUGUUGUAGACGGCUUUAGGGAAAGAAGAGUCGCAGAAUUCGUACUCCAAAGCGCCGGAAACUUGAGUGACAUCGUUGAAGUUACGAUCAUAUUCAAAGAUCAGGGAAUCUCCCACGUGGAACUCCUCACUGUCGGUCCAGUUGUCGUCUUCCUUAGGGGUCCAUCCAUCGGAGUCUCCCACUUUGUGGACUGUUGCCGAAAAACAACCCAACAGAACCGUGAAGGUUGUUAUCACGAGCAAGAAGAAGCCGAAGAUUCUUUUGACCAUGGUUGGAGGAAAAAAUUUAGAAGCGAAGAAGAAAGAUUGUGGUGAGAUCUCGAACGAGCAAAACCGAGAGAGAUAGUAAUUAAUUGUGUUGUGUUGAUGAAUGAUGAGUUGGGAAGAGAAUACGUAGUCUAUCACUAUUUAUAUUCAUUAAUAAGACUGUUUAUUUAUAUAAUGUUUUGUUAUUCCUAAUCUUGCUAUGAUUAUAUUUUGUAUAUUCACCUCUUAUCUUCAAUAAAAAAAACACGGUUUGAGAUCUCUUCUAGCUUAGUGCUUUUCGGAUUAGGUUUAUCAUUUUUCUUAUUAAUGAAUUAUUAAUGAAUUUAAUCAAAAAUUUAUCCUAUUUUCGCCACUGAUAUAAUUGGAUAUCUAGUUUUUAUGGAACAAGAGAUAUAUAUCUCUUAUCAAGUUAUUUUCACUUUUCGUCCAGAAAAAAAAUCAAGUUAUUUUCAAUUUUCAAAUGCAUUUUUUUUUUCUUUUUUUUUUCUUAAGUCUGCCUUUAACUUUCUUUCUUUUUCUUAGUUUUAUUAGGUUAUUAGGGAUUGACCCGCGGUAUACCGCGGGAUGAUUUUUUGUAAAAUUUAUGAUUUUUUAAAAUUUUAGUUAUGUAUUAUAUAUAUAAAUUUGUAAAUUAUAUCAUUUUAAAUAUAUUUACAAUUUAUAGUUUAUAAUUGUCAUUAAGUAACGGUAUAUUGCGGAACAAUUUUUGUUUUAUAUAAUCUAAACUAAAUUAGACUGAUUCGAUAUGUCUAAUAUUACAGGUCUUCCAAAAUAAUAAAAUGAAGAUUUAACCCGUAUUGAAAUGAUGGGUUAAUGAUAUUUUCACAGAUCAAAACUUUCUUCCUCGAAUUGAAGUUUUGGGAGCUACUAAUUAAUUUUGAUUCAAACCCGUCCCGCCAUAUAAUUUUGUCCCGUAAUAUAACCCGUCAUGUGUUAGAUUAAAAUGUUGAUAUGUUCAAAUAUUCAUAAUAUUAUAAAAAAUUAUUGAUUUUGUAUAUAUAACUUAUAAUAUUUAUUUUUUAAAGAAUUAUACGGAUAUUUUGAAUUCCGAUUGUUAGUAGUAUUAAAAAAAUUCUUCAAAUUCGUUGGUAUGAUUAUUUGUUUUGGCGAUUUUGUGUUGAUAAUAUAAGAGAAUAUAUGGUAAGUAAUUUUGAAUUGAAAAUCUUAAUUCAAAUAGAGUAUAAAUGAUCAUUGUCGAGAUAUGAAAGAUUGUCUCGAGAUUUUUGGCAAACAAAUUAGAUUUACAUAUAUUUAAUUAAAGAAACAAAUCUUAAGAAUUAAUGUCAGUGACAUUACAUUGUAAAUAAGUAUCAACUCCAGGAUUUAUUUUGAAACUCCAAAAAUGUAUAUAUAGAUUCGAAUUAUUUUCCUUUAUAUAUUUAUAUUUUAACUUCUUCACACGUAAUUCUUCAUUUUGUCCACUAAUUUUUUAUUUUUAAUUAAUCGUAAACUAUAUAGCCGGCUUCUUUAUCUCUGGUUUCAAAGUCUCUUCCCUCCCGCAUACCAGUCUCGUGAUUAAUAGUUGUUCAUAGUUCACUUUUGCUUCCAAGGCUUUUUGUUUCUCUUUAAUUACUUUCAUUUCUCAGUUUUGAUUUUGUAUCAUAAAUACUAUUUCUCUUUCAAUUUCGUUAUAAUAUGGUACAUCCAAUAAAAAAAAAUUCCAAACAAGUCACGUACGGAUGUACGGACGAACGGUUAUGAGCUAUCAACAAAACAAGGAACCAACGAAAUAAAUGAGAAUAAAUAGUAGAAAUUUUUUUUUGGGAUGAAGUAAAAAAUGAAAGAACAGAUUAUACCUUUCGUAUUUCUUUUUUCUAAAUUAUCAUUAUAAACUGAAAUUGUCCUUCUAUAGCUUCUCUUUUUUGUUCUCUGUCCAUAACCUACAAAUCUCUUUAAACCAAGCCAAGACAAUAGUAACCAAACAAACUAAAAUUGGACCAUGGGUAGGGAGAGAGAAAGAGAGACUUUUGAAACUGCCCAUUAGCUUAGAAUGUACCAUGAAACUUUGUCAGCUUAGCUAGAGAUAGGCACAGAGAGUACAAUUCAUAAAAUUUAUAAGCUUUUUUUCUCCUUCCCAAGUGUAUAUCUCCUUCCCAAUCCCAAGUAUAUAACCAAAUAAUAGUUAGGAAAUAUAAAGAGAUGGACACUUUUAAUUUAUGGAUUGGUGGUAUAUAUAUGCAUCUCAAUAUGAGUAAGUAUAGUUUCAAGAUUAUAUGAAGAUGAUUAUUUAUGUAUAAAUAUAAGCUGAAUAUAACAUUGAAAGAUAUGGGUUUUCUCUUCAGCAUGGUAAUUAGGGCUCAUGAAGCAUCAACAUGUUGAAACAAAAACUCAAAAAACGAACAUUUUAAAAGCAAUAUAGAUAUUAUAAGCCUGGUUAAUUCCCCACUACAUAUUCUCCAAUUACCUAAUGAUUUGAAGGUUGAAUUGAAACUAACUUUUAAAAGGAAACAAAAGCGAAUUAAAUAAAAUGGUGAAUAAAUUACUUCUUAGUUCUUAUUUUUUUCUAUCUUCAAAACUCUAUAGAUUUCCCUUUCCUCUUAAUUUCUUCAUCAUCACUUAGCUGCAUAGCCGAAGAAGAGGAUGCACCCAUUUCGCCACGUGGCGACCUCCAAAACGAUUGAUCAUCGUCUCUGAUCACAACCGGAGACGACGAAGAGUACCCUGGAACUCCCAUUUCGCCACGUGUCUCCCCUGAAGAUGUAGACUCCUCCACGUCAACCCCAAACAGCCUCAACUUCUUCGUCGUCGACGGCUGAGGAGGCGCAGAUGGAAGUACCCUCCCCGCUGGAAAAACAGGAACCGAGUCAUAAACCAACGGCUCAGAUCUACCAAGAUUCCACUGAUGAUGAUCCAACGGUGAUCCUGCGUAGUAACGCGCUCCAUUACCGUUCACAAUUCUACCAUAACCAUACCCUAAAUAUUCCCGUUCUUGAAAUUGGUUAUGAUAAAAUGGUGGAAAACUCCGGUGGCUUGGCAUGGAAUAUUCCGGCGUCACCGGAUAAAACCUAGCCGUUGGAUAUGUCGGAGACCCGAAAAUGAAGUUAUGCUGGUUAAAGUUGUGUACGAGGUUUAUCUCGGCUCUAUGCCUCCAAUCAAUGAACAUUAGUUUCCGGCGUCUCUCCGGUGGUGCGUUAUCGUCGGGGAUGAAGCCACGGUGGAAAGAGACGGUGUCUCCGGCGAAGAGUUUCUUCUCUUUGACGAAACGGCUCCAUCCUUUGGUCAUCACGUAGCUUUGGCUACUGUUCCAAUACGAGUAACGAAACCUCCACAUCUUGCCGUUUCUGUCUUGGAAAUCCAACACUGUGCCGUUUUGAUUGCCCUCUAAAGGGAAGUAGUUCUCUGCAUGUUGCUUUGGAAUCACGAGCCGGUUUAGUUUACCGACGUCACUUGGUGUCAACACUUUGUCGAACAUGUGCUCUCUUCUCUCCGAGCUGUAGAAGUAAUUGGUGUUGUCGGAACUGCUAGCUCCGAUAUCGGCGAGUUCUUGAUCAGAAUUCAGCGUUGACAUAUUCAUCAUAAGUAUCAAGCUUUGUUAUAUAUAGGUUCUUGAGAAGAUUGAUGACCCAAUUUCAAGAUCUUUCAAAAGUAUCCAACUUUUUUUCCUUAAUGGGUUCUUGACAAGAAGAUGGACCAAUUCAAGAUCUUUGAAAAAAGUAUUCAACUUUAUUUUUAUGGAUCUGAUGAGUGAUUCUUGACAAGAUGAUGACCCAAUACAAAAUCCUUCAACAUACAUGAGAUAAUUUUAUUAGAAGUCAAAUAAAAAUCACUACCACAAAUAUUUACUAAGGAAAAAAAGUAAUAAUCAAAUCAAAUAAUUAAAAGUAAAUUAAAGAUCAAGUAAAGAACAAGAACAAGAAAAAAAAAGCUAUAACCAAAAAAAAAUUGAAAAAGAAAACCCUAGAAUCCAGAAGAAGAAGACAGACGUACUCUUUGUGUUUGCUUCUUCUUCUGAUCUUUUCGUUGACUCCAAAAGAUAAAUAAAUGAAAAUGAAAUCAAUGGUUUCGAGUUAAAUUGGGUUCUCUCUCUAUCUUUCUCUCUAAUAUGACUUUAAGGGGGUGAAGAAAUAUAGUGGCUUGAGAGAGAUUUUUUCGAUGAUAGAGAUGAAGAUCACAUAUCAGAGAAGAGUAAAGGGGCCCAUGAAUGGUGUGGUUCGGGUCAUGUGAGAGCUUCUUGUCCUUUUCAAUUAGCUAUAGACUUGGGGUAACUCUAGCUAUUUAUAUAGAUAUACAUAUGUAUACAUACAUGUAUUGUGUCAAUGUUUUGUGAGAGUAUUUCCUUUUCUUUUGAUAUCUGUAUUUUUAUUUCAUCUUUAUUCAUACCAGAUCUUUUGUAUUUAUUGUUUUUUGUUUGUUAGUUUCUUCUAACUAGUUAUUUUUAGCUAAUUAUAUUAAAUCAUCAUAUAUUAUAACUAAUCUGUGUUUCACAAAAAAUAGAAAACAAUACAAAAUACAAUAUUAAGGUUUAAAUUA
rnacentral:lncRNA from 1 species